rnacentral:lncRNA from 1 species
GUUGCCAGCAGCCGCACUUGUUCGCUUGCUUGAAUAUCUGCGUCCAUCGUUCUUCAGUUGCUUGAUCUUUAUGAACUUUCCUGAACUUCCAGUCCCCCCCUCCCCCUCUUUUCCGCAGGAGGUUAUCAGGCCCUGUUCUUGAUUUGUGUUCUGCUCUCCUGUUGAUUGUUGGGGUUCCUACAUUCUCGAUUUGACCCGUAUUUGUUUGUUUUGUGCUAUUUCCCCCUAAUCGCUGGUUUUUUUAUUGAUUGAGCAGCAAGCAUGCAGUCAAGUGCACCCGGACUCGGCUGGAUCUGCUCCGGCGGAAGAAGCAAGCCAUGGUGAAGUUCCUCAAGAAGGACGUUGCUGACCUCCUCUUCAACGGCCUUGAAUCGCACGCCUUCGCACGGGUACUGUCUGCACUCUCAAGGCUUCGACCUGAAUAGUUCAGUGGUCUUGGAUGGAUUUAGCUUUGGUGCGAAUUUGACAAAACAGAAAUAUUUCUCGAAGUGCCGAUGCAGUUGAAAAUUAGUGCUUUGCACGGAGAAAUUUGUGAUGAAAUGCAGGAUCAUGUGAGGGUUCCUGUUGUGAUAUGUUCCUAAUUGCUGUUAUUUGUUUCCCCUGGACUACAGAUGGAAGGGCUGAUUGUUGAGAUGAAUCAAGCAUCUUGCUAUGAUAUGAUAGAGCAGUACUGUGAAUAUAUUGUGAAGCAGCUCAACAACCUGCAGAAAGAGAGGUAAUUGUCACCCUUGUCGCACUCAUCAGUGAUGCACCAAAUUCAUCCUGCUAACAUCUGUUUUACAUCGUUUGAUGUUAUGCACAUGUGCUCUGCAUUUGUUUCUGUUCUUGCUAGGAAGAAAAUUGGAAACAUUAUCAUUUCUUCCAACUUUAAUUGUAAUAUCUUGGAUUUCUAGUCUGCUGUAGCUGAUUAAGAUGGCUUAGACAUCAUCCCUUUUGAACAUUCAGUUAGACUAUGACAACUUUGGUCUAUGAAGUCCUAGCUUAUCUGGAUUGUUUGGUGAUAACUGCUUUACUGUAUAGCUAUUGUUCGAUUGCCUUGUUUAUUCAUACUCAAGGCAUGCCAUACUCCUGUUGUUAUGCAUGUGUCUCAUCAAGAUUGAAAAUUUUAAUACUGAAAGCUCAGUCAAGGUAGUUAAUCAUUGACUUGAUGUUUGCCUUUCUGGUUUAACAGUUUGCAUAGUAUUCCCAAGGUUAUAGAAGAUAUGAAAAUCUCAAAGCUACAUAUUCGCCAUCGUUCAUAGCUGGAAUUGAAACUAUUCUCUUUUGGUUGUGCUAUAUGAAUGAAGUGUGUGUCACUAUCAAAAGAUCUUGUUCUUUCAUCAUUAUUUAAGAUUACAAUAAGACUUUCUUCCUUCUCCAAUUUUCACUGAAUCUGUGAUGUCCUUCAACAGUGAAUGCCCUCAGGAAGCCUUGGAAGCUGUGUCUACUCUGAUAUUUUCUGCUGCUAGAUUUCCUGAUUUGCCUGAACUGUGUGACCUCAGACAUAUAUUCACGGAGAGAUAUGGGAGUUCGGUUGAGCCUUUUGUUAAUUCUGAGGUGCUUAAAAUUCUUUUUCUUUCUUAUGUGUGAGUUGAUCUCCAUCAUUUGGAACAUAUCAAUUAACUUAACCUUUGUGUUAACAGUUUGUCCAGAAGCUUCAGAAUAAAUCAUUUACUAAUGAAGAGAAGUUGCAAGUGAUGAAAUCCAUUGCUGAAGAAUUCUCCGUUCCAUUUGAUAGCAAGGCACUGGAAUGGAAGAUAACUUGUGGACCUCAAAAUAAGCAUGUAUGAUCUUAGUUAACUUCUUUGCAUUAUGUAAAUAUAUGCUCUCCUUUUUAUUAACUACUCAGCCUAUGGGGUCAUUCAAUUCUAUUUUUGACAUUCUUUUUUUCAUCAGGAUCUUCCGAAGAAGAGUUCAGUUAAACGGGAGGUAGAAGCAUCAGCACGAAAUGGACACAAGGUUGAUAGGCAUGCUGUGAAUGAAAGAAAAUCUAACCCUGUGGCUGAAAACUAUGGACAGAAGCAGGAAAUGAAGACAAAGCCCAAAGAUAUCCAUGUCAUUCCUGAUGGAAUUGGUCAGUUAGGUGAGAAAAGCAGGAAGAACUACUCAGAUAAACCUAGUGAAAAAAGGCACAUGGAUAAUUCUUUGCCUCCUUUGGACGUGAAAGAAAGGAAUGGCCAGAAAGAAAUGAAGAAAUAUGAGAAAAAGGAUGAUCACCUUCGAAGGGAACUAAGGAAUGCAGAGGAGUUGGACCUCAAUGGCUUAAAGAAACAGGAUGGUGGUUUAGUGAAACCUCCCAGUGGCACUGAGCAUAGUUGGGGACAUGCUGACUUAGGGCUUAAAACUCUGGGCCUAGAAAAACAUGAAAUUGAUUCAAGUUGCACCUUGAAUGGUAAAACAGUGAAUAAGGCUCCUCCUUAUUCUAAGCCCUACAGAGCAACAGGUGAGAUGUCCGCUGAAGGAAAUUCUAACAGUUUGUAUGAUAGACGAAAGCAUGAAGGAGAGUUUGGACAGUCGAUGCGAGAUAGGCAGCAUGUGCCAGAGAAGGCAGCCAGUAUGCGGCCUCCUUAUGUUAAGCCAAAAUUUGAAAAGCAUACUGGUGCUGAAGAAAUAGGCCACCCGAAGGGUGAACCGGUUUAUGAUCCUGUUUCCGUCAGAAGCAGGCAUGCAAAACCACCUGCACAUGCUGAUGAUUAUGCCAGAAUGGCUUAUGAGGAAAAGAUGGCAGACCAAGCACCUGAUGGCCGAAGAAGACAUUCAAGCAGGAGGAAUGGUGCCUAUGACGAUUAUGACCAGAAAGUUGGUCAUGUGCUACCCCUAGAAGUCAUGGGGGGCAAUGAUGAUAUCAACAAUGCGAGACCUUUUCACCGAAUCCCUAGUGAGCGAAGAAAGCACAGAAGCAGGCGUCAUGGAUCAACAAGUGGCAGCGACUACAAUGGGGCCAUUGAUGACCACGAGUCAGAUGAGGACGAGGCGAACACCGCAAUUGAUUUUGGCAAUCUUCUGCCCCGAGCCCCUAGUUCACACAGGAAGCACAGGAGUCGGAGUGCUGAUCCCCGCAAGGGAGGCCGUGACGAUGAAGAAAGGAUGAUGGAUAAGCUCCUCAUGCAUUACAGCAAGAAAGGUCUAGACAGGGAGGAGCGCAAAGAAAGAGUAAAAUCUCGUAUCCCCCGGCCUCGAGCUGACCGACCUGCUGAUGGUGCUGCAGAACUAUCUAACAAAGAAGGGGUGUCUGCAAACCGCCCUGAAAGAGCUCUAUCUCUACCUUCAGAAUCUGCAAGCCCAAAGGCGAAGCCAAAGGCCCCUGUUCGGUCCAUGUCCAUGCAGCCAGAAAUUUCUAGAGGGAAUGUGCACCCACCGGAUUUCGACGAACUGGCUGCACGGAUCAGCGCGCUGAGGAACACCUGAGCUGCCACGAUACUGUCUUCAGCAUGGCCUCUAUUCGCUCAGGAACUUAUAUCAUAGCAUCUGAGAGCUGAUGGUGCCUGGGGUCACUGGAUUGAGAAGAGGACAUUUGAAAUGUGGUUGCCUCCUAUUUUUUGCAACAUUUUCUCAUGGUAGUAUACUUGUUUGUGUUGCUCUGAGUGUAAUCUUGGUAGAGCAUUGGCAGGAAAGUUAAAAAUGGCAAUUCAUAGGAUACCAUACCUUACUACAUUGAUUUGGAUGUGGUUGUUUGUUGUACUCAUAGAACAAUUGUUGUCGCUGUACAGAUGCCAUUGAUGAGGCUAUAGUGAUAAAGUGAUUUUCUACAUCACCGUUGAGUGCUUCCUCCAUUUUACAAUAUUUUUACAACCUCACUGUCAGCAUACACUGGAGAAGAUUAGGCAUUUCUAUCAAGAUACCAUAAUAAUUGAUCUAAUGACUAAUUAUACUUAGCUGCCAACCGUAUAGGAUUGUCAGUUUUGUCUGACGGACCACCCAUCAUCAUCUGGAGCCAUUUUCUUCAGCAAAAUUAGGCAGCAUGGUUGCCGGAUUUCUUAUUUCUCCUAGGAUACGAAGACCAUGUGACGGUUGCCGCACAAAACGGUGCCGACGUCGAUAGGCUCUGGUAGCAGAGCUGCCUAAUAAUUCUGCGCACGUUCCUCUGGAUUCCUGAUCAAUCAUCACUGCUACCUAGUAGUAUUCUAUUUUUUUCUUGGAUCUUCAAAACAAUAUUCUAGUAGUUGUACUAAAUUGUCAACAGAAACAACUACCACUCUUAUUUCCAUUUCGCCCGUCUAGACAUAAAAGUGGGACAAAUUUUCAUGCUAUUCUUUAGUUCCUCUGUCAUUUUGAGUCAAAACAACUGACGAACGCUUGCCAAACUGCUCUAUCAUCUCAUCAGUUUGUCAAAAGAAAACGGCAAAUCUAAGUCAGUAGUGGGUGGCGGCUUGGACUCAGGCCGUGCACAGGACUGCAGGUGCAGCUAGCAGGCUAGCCCAAGGACCUCAUGACACCGACGACGAAAUGCAGGAUGCAAUCGUCGCCGCCGCCGUCGAGUAUGUCGUCGCAGACCAGCCGCUCCAGCGCGGGGUCCCUCGGCAGCGCCCCGGCGUGGUACAGCACCGUCGCCGCCGUCGCCGUCACCGGCCGCGUCGCCACGCAGGCCGCCAGCCUCGCGAACGCCCGGAGGAACAGCGGCAGGAGGCCCUGCACGCGCGCACGCGUUAGCUGACGGUUGCUCUCCAUUCGCGCAGCGUGCUCCUGCGCAAAAAUGCAGUGAAAACCACGUGCUCACCAUGGGAGAUCACGGCCGAUCAAAUGUGCUCGACGAUGCAGCAGCAUGCGCGUGAGACCUGAAGCCUGAAGGGUUGGUUAGUGCGUUGCUGAUGUUUAUAUAUAUACAAAUCGGUAGCAUCGGAACCAUCUGCUGGGAGGUUUGGAGUUGCAAACGGUUGGCGGUGGCAACGACGGGCGCCCAUUGUCGCCUUCGGUGCCGGCCGUUGCUCGCUUGUCUCGGCACUGUGCUCUCUCCAGUCCAGCUCUCGGUUUUGGACUCGGCUGCUUCCUCAUAUUCUUUGCCUCUGCGUCCUGCUUUCCUUGCGUGCCUUUCUCCUCGCCAGGGUCGCAAAGCCGCCCAACGAUGACAGCGACCGGGGUUGUUGGCAUCGCUCGAGCCUGGCAGCAGGAAAGCCCUGGUCAGUUCUUCCAGAUGAAGAAGUUCAAGACCGGUGAAAUCUCAUCUUGUGCUAUAGCUUGUGAGACUAUGAUCCCCUCUCCUGAGUUUUCUUCCACGAAGGGCCUCGGAUGGAUCCUUGAUUCCUUGAUACACUACACAAGGUAUUGCUGCAGUUAGCUGCGAUGAAGGUUCCAGUGUGCCAUUAUCGAAGAGGUUUCCAAUACUAUACAUAUAUUCAAUGCAUAAAUACAAGGUGUAGUAUAGCACGAAUUUAUUUUCUGCUAAUGUUGCAUAUGUAUAUACCUGAGAUAGUAUAUGAAUAUAUGACCACCUAUACUACAUAUGUUCAUAUGUUCCAAAAAUUGUUUUAAAAACCAGGAAGUUUAGUUAUUCACCACCUUAACCCUUGGUGUCUCAUGAAACGUAAGAAAUCAAGUGACGCCUACCCUUAACUUUUUGCAAGGCGGCAGGAAUUAAUUCCCUGCUAACAAUGCAUAUAUACAUUCUAUGACUGACAAGGAUUAAUUUCCUGCAAGAAUGUGGUGAAGACUGCAGUAUGGCAGGAAUUAAUUCCCUGCUAACAAUCCAAACACGCUAGGUGCAGUAUAGCACGAAUUAAUUCCUCCCUAAGAUGCAUGCGUAGCAGAUAUUGCCUGAUUUAACGCGUCAUCCAUGAGAACGCCAAGCGUCCCCCUCUGAAUCUCUCUCGAGCAUUGCCUACAAAUAGGCACACUCGGUGACACCAAUCAACACCAGCUCUCUUCUUCCUCACCAUCAAGUGGUUUGAGGCCAUGCCUCGCAACGCCUCGGCGAUGUCGUCCAUCCUCCUGAUUGUGCUGCUCUUGGGCCUUGGUAAGCAUGGAUGAUAGUCAAGGACGAUCCAGCAAUUCAGCAGCUCAAGCACCUCACCAAAUGAUCAAACAAUAAUCUGACCAUACUAAUGCUAGCAAAUUCUUCAGUCUGACUGCUAUGUUGUUCUUCGUGUAUGCAGGUGGCCACACUAAUGCUAGCAAAUUCUCGACGCUGCACUACGAUGUCCAGCAACCGGGAGCUGACGAAAGCCCUCGUGAGGAGCACCUUCAAGAAAAACUUGCAACCAUCAUGUCAUACAAUCUUGACUGGGCCUGCCUUCCCAAUGAUCCUUCCAACCCAAAGUGCCGCGCGAGCAAGUUUUCCUGGCCUGAGCUGGUGGGGAGGAAGGGCAGGGAAGCAAAAGCUGUGAUUCAGAGGGAGAAUCCUUCUGUCGAUGCUGUGGUUUACGCCCCGCAAGACGCCAUUGUUACGGACAAGUACUGCUGCAAUCGUGUUAGGCUCGUCAUGAACUGUGAUGCUGGCUGCGACUAUGAAAAUGCUACGGUGUUCCAAAUCCCAAUUGUUGGGUGAUGAGCAGGUUAUUUUGUUGUUGGGGGGUUGCAAGUGCAUAUGCAUCCUCUUUUUAACUGCUGCCACAGCGAGCAUUCUCCAUUGUGCAAAAAAAGAAAAAAAAAGGAACCACCUGAAAAGUCUUGGAUUUUAGAAAAUGCCCCAAAGAACAAGUUGUGUACAAGAGAUGCAAUGGAGGCAUUUUACUUGUCAAGGAGCAAAAUGAUGAAGGAAUUCAAGAUGAGAGUUUAUCAUGGCGUAUGUCAAGAAUAUAUUGCAGCAGGUUGGCACGGCUGAUUCCAAGCUUACUCGAUAUAGAAUUUAGGCAUUGGAAGAUCUAAAAACCACGUAAAAGUUGUUCUAAAAAUUAGGAAAACUAAUUCACCCCCUCAACCUUUGGUGUCUUAUGAAACUUGAGAGCACUUUGUUGGCAGUUGCACGCAGUGCAUGACAUGGGCUGGACCGCACGGCUCAGGUGCCUGCGUAACGGCCCAGUCCAGCUACUUAGAGCCUUCCUUACCUGCUUCCUGUUCGCUCUCCACGCGCGUACGCCGCCGACACACGACAAAACGAGGCAUAAUCAUCGUGCGUGGAAUCCGAGCCAGAAACCUAAACGAACACCUGAUCCAAGAUUCCAAGGGUUCUAGUCGCCUACUCCGCACGUCCUUGGCUGUAUAUAUACGAAGCAGACAUGCAAACCCUCUGGCCCCUCCCGUACGUCGCCACUGGAUCACGUACGCCUUUUCGAUCGAGCAAGCUCUUGGUCGUCGACGACGACGAUCGCCAUGGCGGGCGGGAGGCAGGGCGGCAAGCAGAAGCCUCUCAAGGCCCCCAAGGCUCCCAAGAAGAAGCCGCAUGCAGACUGAUCUGGAGAACCAGAAGAAGAAGAAAGAGGACGAGAAGGCCCUCAAGGAGCUGAGGGCCAAGGCGGCGCAGAAGGGCCCGCUCGGAGGCGCCGGGCUCAAGAAGAGCAGCGGCAUAAAAAUAAUUCUGAAGACUAGUGUAUGUCUUAUUUCUGUUUUCAUCAGAAGAUAGAAAGAAAGAGACAUGCAUGGUGCCUCAAUUUUGUGCUGGUCUUGAUCUUGCUGGUGUAGAAUCUCGUAGAUUACCUGUCCUGAUUCUGAAAUUUUCUUCAGUUUCGUAUGCCUCGUGUGGUUUGUAUGAAGUUGGGAACGAUACAGCAAUUCGCUUAGAGACCGUUAUUUUUAGGUGGUGUUUGGAUCCAAAUGCUAAUGGCUAAAAGUGUUAAAGUUUAGCACUAGUCCAUCUAAACAGGAGUGCUAAUAUGAUAAUCUAAACUUUAGCCAAGAUUGAAAAUUUAAGAAAAGAUAUUCAAAUACUAAUAUGUGCUAGAAUCUAGCACUCAACUUUAGCUUAUCCAAACAGGCUUUUAAUCCUCCUCUCUAGUGUUGGUAUCGCAAAGAGGACAGUAAUAAGGUAUUAGCAUCCGGAACAUUGCAAAGGUAACAAAUCCGGCUCGUGUAGACCAGCUAGCUAUGACGCUGCCGGCCGCUACUGUUGCUAGCCAACGACCUCCUUGCUACGAGGCAGCUGGAAUCGCCUACUUCUGCACGAGCAUAUGGCGGACCGAGAGAUUGAAAGCAGCCCGGGCGAAGCGCAGGUAACUCUUUCUUCUCAUAUCUGGCAGAGCAGAUGGGCAAAAGAUUCUAUGGUUAGCCUCUGGAUACAGAGGCAUCGGAGCCCGGGCGCCCUGGGUCCGCCGCAUACGAGCAUGUCUGCCAAGCAUACCAUGUCCGCCACACUCGAGUGUCUCCAUUGUCUAUGGGAGUGAGGAGGCCACACGCAAAAACUUGCGUCGCUCCUGGCAUUUUCACUUGUCCUGUGAAAAAGAAGUGGAGCUCGAAAAGGGGCUCUAAGCAACACGCAUCAAGCAUAAGGAUAAAGCAGUCUUGAAUCGAUAAACAAUCUUUCAAAUGCUUUCUAGUUCCGAACCAAGUAUAUCACGUUCCGCAGUGAACAUCGCAGGUGGCCAAAGCAGAUGCUCACUAUAACAAAAUGACAGAAUUGCUAUUUCUGGAUCUAUGCUGCAAAGCGUGCACGCAAUCUGCUGCGAUAAACUGCCUCGAGAUUCAAAUAUCCUAAACCUCAGAAACGAACAUGCAGCAGCUAGCGACCCACAUGAUCUUAUGCGUCAGUUGGUCUUUGUUGACUCGGACAAAAUUCUUGGGAGAGAUUCAGAAAACUAAGGUGCCAUUGCUGAGUGCCAUCUCAACUACUUGUGCUCUUUAAUUUCUUUAAUGAUACCGUCAGCGAGGGAAUCUGUAUCAUAGUUCUUGCCGUAAAACUUGACAAACUCCAUCUUUGGAUUCAUCAAGUACCUGAAAGUAGAUGAACAACCAGUCAGUGUUUUGAGAGGGCAUAUCUGAAUCUUCUCAGUAUCACUAGCCACAUGGCAGCAGAAGAAUAAAUCAGAAGCUUCUACAGUUGCAAUGAGUUUGGAGGGGGUACUGAUGGAGAAUAUAACAAAUCAGAAUGUGUGCAUUUUCUCAGUAUCAGUAGAUGGUGCAUGGCAGCAGUAUUAACAAAUUAGAAGCCUCCUACAGUCCUUAUGAGUUCAAAAGGAAUAUAUCUGUCAACCACUUAGUUAAUUUGGGAUUCAGGCAUUCCCAGUAUCGAGUCUCUAAAGCAUCCAAACGAGUGUAUAUCAUAAGUAGUUCCUACUGGAUACCCGUUGGAGCCCUGCAAGAUAUAUUCAGAAGGGUUCAUAUGCAAUAGAGAAACUAACAGGUUUCUUCAUUUUGCUAUGGAUAUUGUAGAUAUGCCAUAUCUUGUAACAACGAAAUAACUAGAACCAGAAUCAUCUCAAUUGCAGAACAUUAGCAAAAAUAAAAAAUAGCCAAAGUCAUUGUCCAGGAGAGAGGAAGAUUAAAAUAACAUACAUGACAAUUGAGUGGUCAACGAGAUAGUCAGAACCCUCCUCCUCCGUCUUCAUAUAGUAAACUCGGUAAGCACGUGCAACUUUUCUUAUCUCAUCUGUUGUGCCCGUUAGUCCUACCAGAUCUGGAUGGAACUCUGGGAGACACAAAUAAUUCAUCAAUAAUAGGAAAUUCAUUGAAUAAGAUGAACUAAUAAUAGUUCAAAUAGCAACAAUCUUUAAGUGAACAUAAGCAUUAGGAAUUGAGGGACAUAAGUGCACGGACACACACCUUUAACAUAGUCCCGAACCUGCUCAACAGUAUCUCUUUCAGGAUCAACUGUAAUGAAAACUGGCACAAUAUCCAAUUUUGCCUUUUCCUCUGCAAAUAACAACGGAGUUUAUUAAAAAUAUGCUAAUUUAACUGUCUACUAGCUCUAGUUAGGCACUUCAGCGGAAUUUUUCACCAAGUGCUGUUGUAUGUGCAUUCCACUUGCCCAUUCACCAUAUUACUUUGUACAGUAACGUGCCUUCUAGUUUCUAGGUGACCAUUUAAAGCAAGAUAACAGUGUUCUUAUACAUACCAUGAAGACAUGAAGAUAUAUCAAUAGACAGUAAACAGCCAAUACAUGACCUAGGAAGGUAGUUAUAUCCAAGGAACAAAAGAAACAUACUAAUUUUGUCAAUCGCUGCAGCCAUUUUCUGGAGCUCAUCUGGACAAAUGUCAGGACAGUGUGUGAAUCCAAAAUAAAGCAGAGUCCAUUUUCCCAAGAAGUCCUUUUCAGUGACAGGCUUCCCAUCAUGGUUCAGAAGCUUGAAUGGACCACCAAUGGCUGCAGUGCCUACUGAUUGUCCAGGCUUCACAGCACUUGUUCUAUUCUUCAAUUCUGGGGAAGAUGGAACAGAAAAUAUCAUGAAAAAAAUUAAACAGGAUUCAAGGAGCUGAUGCCUUCCUACUAUGCUGAUAAUACUUCUAAAAGGCACAUGUCCAUUUGUACAAUCAAGUAAAGUUUUGCGACAAUUGCUAUAAUAGCAAAUAGAGAUCUGAUUCUGAACCAGGAAGAUGGUUUCUUUUCAUAUUCAAUGGUGUCAAAACAACAUACAAAAAUAUAUCAGAUAUGAUUAGCACGGAGUCCUCUAGCAAUUGUUCCACUGGCCCUAUAGUAUGGUUUCUGAAUUUUUGCUGAUGUCAUGAAGAAGUAUGACAAGAGCAACAGUAGCCACAUAUAUACCGUUUGUUCAACAAGUUUAGUGUCCCGUUCAACUUUUGUAUAUGUGUCCUUGAAACCCAUGCAUAUGCAUUUACAAAGAAGUUAAAAACAGCAACAAAAAUGCCAGCAGUGGUUACAGAAGAAAAUGCAAACAAAACAUUGGUCUUCAGCUUAUUGUCUCUUAGUGUAGACUGGGACCAAAUUGUUGCUAAAAGCACACCAGUUUGUGGCAGGGAAAGCUUAGGCAGCUGGCAAGGUUACGGCUCUCCAUUUUGUAUAAACUGACUUGGAAGAAUUGACAAGAAAUGUAUGAAAUCGCCAAUUGGUCCUUUCUUGCUCCAACAUGGCUGUCACAAAUCCAGUAAGCUAACUCUUCCCUUAAUGAUGAUUUCACUUAUAAGUACCAUAUGUUUUCCAAAAAGAAAAGGAACUUUUCAGAAUAGGAGAUGUGUGCUCUACAUUUUUAUAGAACUUGCAUGAAACGCUGAAUAAAAAAUAAUACAAUGCUAGGGAUGUAAAUUAGGUGCUAGCAGAAAAAAUAAAAGCUCUAAAAAUUCCUAUUUCGGCACUCACAAUAAAAUGGGAUUAGAACAAACAUGAGACAAUGCAUUUAUUGCGGGAAAAAUGCAUUCCAGAACAUCACAUUCUAGUAAGUAGGUAUACAGCAAGGUGCCAAGGUGCAGCAGCAGCAGCACUCAUGCAGGGAAAUUAGAAGGCAUUAACAUGGGUAAUAUAUAAGACUCAGAAGCCAAAUUCUCACUAAAAAAAGAUUUGGAAACCGAUAAACUAUACUUCUCGUACAUUUAAAUGUCACUUUAUACCAAUCAAUUCACAGCCAGCAUGACACUCGAGACACUUCAGUGCACAUGUAUACCACACGCACCAAAACAUUUUUUUCCCAUAGCAACAUUCCAUAUAGCCAUGGCAUAAUGUCACAAAGUGUAGCCAGAAAUUUUAAGAUGGGGUUCAAGCAUUGGAUUUUAUUAUUAGACAGUUCGAUAUUUAUAUGGACUGAAGAUAUGGUAUAAUGAAGGUAUAUACUAGGUUAAACUGUUUGCUUUAACAUAAUUUUGAAAAUAUCUGGUGAGUCAAUUGAAUCCUGUGAACUAUGAGAAAUCCACUCACGACAUCAUGAACUGCUUUGGCUUAUUGGACCAGCAUAACCUCUUCAAAUUUGGCUAACCGUGUUUCCUCCAAUCAAUACGCCAUCGUACCAACACGGACACUACGAAUAUUUUUCUAUUCAUAGCUAGAUACAGUCCUAGCAUCAGUCAAACAACAACACAAACUCACCAUAGUAAUCUACCUUCAAUGUGACGCUUCUUUUCUUUAUCGUAGUACACAAUUAUCCCUCCUCCAGUCACGAGCAGCAGUAGAAAACUGAGCCAGGACACCGGCUGCAAGGAAGUGACAAGUGCUUCUGAAUUAGCAUUCAGAAAUGGCCUAACAGUCUAGAAACAAUAAAUGCCCUAAGGAAAUGAGAAAUUGGUCUCUUGUUAGACGCUACGUACAUCACUACUAAUUCGUGCCGAAUGAAAGAUUUCAGAGCAAUUGUGUUUAUUUUCCCCUGCAUAAGGAGGAUAGAGUACGAAUUGGGAUUACAAGCCAUAACUCACCCCUCCGCGGACGGAUUUUCCGGCGUCCGCUUGCUCAGAUUUCCCAGACUGCCCAUCGCCGCCUCCAUCCCCGCCCGUCGUCGCCGCCGCCGUCGCCGCGGGAGGCUUCGACCCGCCCUGCGCCGCAGUCGAGGCGUCGGCGGAAAAGAAGCGCGCGCGCCCCAGGAACGCCGCUCCGAACCGAGACUCACCGGGCCCAGUGAUCUGCAGCACGAACAAAACCAAACUAAUCACGACCCGGCGUCGCUACCAGAAGGGUGAGAGAAGAUCCCGCGCUCGGCGGUCGCCAGCGACGAAGAGAAAGGCGCUGAGGUACCUGAGGCAGAGCUCGAGCGGGAGGAGGGGCGAGGCCGGGAGCGAGCGCCCGCGAGAGGAGCGCGCGGAGGUGGGACACGCGCGCCCUCAUCGUCGACUCCGCCCGCGCCGCUUCGCCGGACCGGGAUUGGAUUCCGCUGCGGGAAGGGCAACGGGUUGCUCCGCGCCGUCACCUCGUGGCUCCGGCGGCGCCGUGGGUUUCAGAGGGGGUUUUCCAGCUGCGAUGGUUUGCGAAUGCUUUGCUUCUUGUGCAAGAAGAACGUUUCAGUUUCACGAAUCGCAACCCAGGAGGUUAAGCGCGUCAAGCAUCAUUAACAUUUUACUGACUUGUAACAUGUCUAACGAUUAACAUUACUUCAAAGAGUACGUCCUUUGCGUGUGAGCCUGCUUCAAUUAACAAACCUAUUUCGCAAAACUUUCUUCUUAAGUUGUCAAGUAACAAGCAUUACUAACAAACGAAAGCAAGGGUAUACUGAUUAGCCAUCCAGUCAAAAGUUUAAUUUGGAUUUGGUUGGGGUGCGCCAGGCCCUGCCAGCAGUGCAACGGCUGGGCGACGCUCGAGGGCCCCAGUGGCAAGCCACUGUAGUGGACCCUCCCCCACAAAAAAUAAAUUUAAUAUCGAAAUGGGCACAUGGCCCACAUAUCAGAUAUUAAACUGAUAAGAACAGAUACUACACUUGAUCUUAGCCAAAAGGCCGAGAAAGGUAUGAUUUGGGAUGGAGCCCUGCGCCUAGUUUUAUAGCACGCUCGACCGCCUCACCCGCCUUCAGCUCGCGAUGUGGUACUAUCCGGGAAACCAGAAGCGGGGCGGAGGGGCGCUGCGCUGCGGCUCCCUGCCAUUUGGGUUUCGGUGUUUCAUUACGGCCCAACUUGGCGGUAUCAGCCCACAUGAUCGGACGGCCCAGUAAUGCGACUUCUAGAGUCGACCGGGCCACUUGUGGAGCACGGGCCGGCAUUGAUAUACUCUCUCUCACACACAUACAGGUUUUGUCAGUGUCUCACGCCAGUACGCCGCCUUCAUGGUGGCAGCGAUGCCAUAUGCUAGUAACAAGCAGUGUUUGGGUUAUCAACUCAAGCAGGUCUUACUUCUUUCUAACCUUGCUUUAGGUCACCUCGUCUCUCAAUCUACAGAUUUUGAGAAGGUAGUUGCGACACCGCGACUCCCUAAAACGAGGCCGGGAGCUUUACCGACCUAAAGUUGAGAAGAUAGCACGCAAGAUUUACCGAACUGGGCUAAAAAUAUCGAACCGAGGAUGCUUCUUUAUGCAAAUGGUUCCUGAGAUUGGCAGUUACCCAAGUCCUGUUUCGCACUGCCGUAGGCAUCAGAUUCAUAUUACUCCCCAGAUUUCAGUCAUGGUGACUAAGUCCUGCUAACUACGAGCAUGUUCGGCUUUCAUUAAAGAACAUCAUUUCUUACAUGCCAUCGUGCUCGCUAAGGCUUGGCUUGAGCCGACAAAUAGGAUGUCCACCACAGCAGGGAAGGAAUUUCUCUAACGACGGCAAAAGCGACUACAAGCUUACAGGUAUCAGAUUCCUGUGACAUACAAGCUUGCUGCAAACACAAUGUCACGCUUGAUAGCAUUAGACGCGACCUCCAUCUUCUUGUACAGCGCAGAGUUCCCCAUUAUCGAAGCCGCGUUCCUGAAUUCUCUGCAUGUUUCAUCCAGCCGGACGAUUGUUCUUACAAUGAGCCCCUCGGAUACAUCUGUCAGCUCACAUAUGUCCGCAAAAGGAGUUCCCUGCAUUGAAGCAACAUAAAACAGCAUUACAAUCCAGCAUUCAUCUUGGAGAAGUGUUACCAUUACGAUGUGUAUACCUUUGCCCACUCGUAGACAACCUCAACAAGGCCAAACUUGAGAUUGUCACGUGCAUACUCCUCAGGAUCCACAGGUACCUUGAACUGUGCUUGGAGCGUUCCUAGUCUGAUCGCGGUAUCAUAAAGCCUAAUACAGAGAAAAACACAAUUGCAAAAGGUGCUUCAAACAUGUUUUCCAAGGAAAUACAACUGAGAUUCUUAAGAUGGAUCAUGACAGGAAACAAAAACAUGAUAGCAAAAGGUGAUUGAAACAUGUCUUCCGAGGAAAUACAACUGAGAUUCUUAAGAAGGAUCAUGACAGGAAACAGAAAAGGGGAGCAAAAAACUAAAAAUCUAACCUCUUUUUGGCUUCAGUCAAUUUUGGAGUAAGAGAUGGUUCUGAUGUAUUCCUCUGCUGGAAGACAAAUGCAGACAUAAUGGCCACGGCUUCUUCAGGUUCUAGGUCAUCCAAUUGAUUCUCGAACAGACAUUCUGUUGAUAUUAGCUCCUCACCGGAGUUCAUUUCACAGGCUACUCGUCCCUUAAGUUGCACAACUAGAUCAGAAUCAAUGUAGUUGAUUACCUUUAGUAAAUCAAUCUGCAAGGAUGGAAAAAUUAAAGUGUUAGAAAAUAACUUAAAAGUAUAGAAAUGAAAUCAGAGGUGGUUCACGGAAUGAUAUUAAAUUCUUGAAAAUCUGAUAAUAGCCAAUAUAAGCAUUCCACGUACAUUCACCUCGAUCUUAAUGAUUUGCAUGCAACUUUGUGAUCCUGUAUGGAUUGGGUAUAUAUGAAUCAUUUAUCUAUUAAGCCCAGCAUUUAAAAUCGAUAAUUCAAACUGUUGUUCCAGCACAGUAGGACUGGGACCAAAAACCUCCCAUAUGCACCAACGCAAAGCAAUUGAAGAAAUGACAAUAUCAGGUUUUUCCUAUGCUGCAGCGGCUAUGAUCCCUUGACCCGUUUUUCUUCAUGUACACAACAGGGCAGCAAGAGGAAAGAGUACAUGAAGAAGUCUUACUCUGCCUUGAAACUCCGGCAUCUGUUGAAGCGCCUCAUCUGACAUUUGGAAUUUCAAUUCAUUCAGCUGAUCCUUGUACACCUUUUGCUCCCUCAUCAAUGAUAUAUGCUCCUUCAGUUUUAUACAACCAUGACACUUGUUUUCAGACAUUUUUUGCAGUAGUCUGUGAUAUGCAUGGUAGCUUUCAACAAGAGACAUGCUCUUCAGAUUUAGAUCUAUAGCACCAAAUGACCACAUCAAAUAGUUAUACAGUUUACAAAUCAACUGAAGGAAAUCAGUGUGCUAAUGUUAUAUUCAGAGCUAAAAAUUAAAUUAAAGGGUGAAAUACACCAGAGGUCCUUAAACUUGUUCCAGAUUCUCUUCUUGGUCCAUAAACUCCGAAGUGAGCAUUUGGGUCCUUAAACUUUUUAAUUGGUUCAUUCCAAGUGAGGUCUAGGUACAUAAUUGGACCUGAAGUGAACUUAGAAUGAUCCACUUGAAAAGUUUAAGGAACCAGAUACCCACUUUGAGAAUUUAUGGACAUAGGUGAGAAUCUGAAAAAAGUUUAUGGACCCCUGGAGUAUUUCUCGAUAAAACAUACUGCUGAUAUUACUUGAGAACUUCGCAGGCAUGAAGGCCAACACACCUACACCAUUAUAUAAUUUUUGAACCAAAAUUCCUAUUUGAUAAUGCUGUUGAAUUAUUGUGUCUAACCCACUCAUCCCCCUAAAUCCAGGAAAAUAACAGGCUAGGAAAAAUGUCAGGCACAGUAUAAUGUAAGGUACUAAGAUGAACAUAUGGAACUUCAAGUUCAACAUCACUUGGGUUUGAGUUUUAAAUUCGGAUGGUUCAGCACAACCUAUUUACAGUUGUACAUGGUCACAUAUUUUUACCAUAUUCAUUUGGGUUUUUCAAAAAUCCUAUCUCUUUGGUCACUCAAACUUUGCCUGAUCCAAACAAACGCUUAGGAGUUUGGUGGUAAGUAUAAGCCACGAGAAUGCAGGAAAGCACCCAUUUACACUGUCCAACUUACAAGAUUGACAGAAUCAUAAGCAAUCCACUGUUUUAAAUAGCUGACUCCUUUCCUAGCCAGUUUAAACUUCAAUAAAAUAGCACAAAACAAAUAAUCGAGCCAUGCAGAAAAUUUUUACCUUUUAUUGCAUCUAAAGCAGGAGGAUACUUAGUUCCUUCUGGUUGCUCUUUUAUAAGCAGUUGGACAGUUUUGAAGUAAGCAGCUUUGCUACCGUCCUCAAGGAGUUUAACUUGAUCAAUCUUUAUUUUACUGGUGCAUAUACUCAUGAUCUCUUUUUUCUCUAUUGCUCUUACUUCAAAGCCCAUUCCAGAUGCAUCCCCCUUGUAUGGUAGGGAGAUUUUGAUAACACCUGAACCUUUUCGUGAGCUGCCGGAAGAGUAAUAUUCAUCAUCCAUGCCACGUUUUCCUUUCGGGGUAAUAAAGCGUCCUUGUUGAAAAUCCCCAGGUUCCUUUUCAGUUUUAUUGGACAGCUCAGGGGAUAAUGCAGAUGAAGUGCAAUCACCAGUCAAUACAAGAACAAUGUAUUUGUUUAGUGCUUGAGAUGGACCUUUCAAUAUAACACCAAGCAAGUGAUCAUCAUCCUGUCAAUAUGUUCAAAAGUCAUAGGGUUUUAAUGUGGAAACUGGAAAGGAUGCAACUAUAGCACAUCUAACAGUAUGUGUUCAAAAAAACCAGUCUUGUUCGAACAUAGGGCUAUGGUACAAAUGAUAGAAUGAUAGCCUCCAAAAAAAUUAAUAGAACCUUCCGAAGUACUUGCUUAAAUUUCCUGGUUAAUUUUAUCCUAAGCAUUUAAAGUGGAGGUGCUAAGUAAAAAGCUCACGGAAAUUUAGAUCGGCUUGAGCAAAGAAUAUUCUAAGAUCAAGCUUGAUUUCAAGCUCAAGAUUGAUCCCUAGCAAGCUAAUAUCAUGCUUGUGUAUGCUAAAGUCACAUGAUUUUUAGUGAUUCUUUUGGAUUUUGAACUCGGAUGUUUGAUGCUAAUUUAACAAGAGGGUUUAAACUUCAAUUUGGAACUUUAAAGAAUGCUUUGGUUUCUUCUAAGCUUCUCAUAUUUCUUUAUGUGCUACUUCUGUAUCUUGCUAAAUGCAUAUAGAAAAUCUAAAGACCCAAGUGCCGAGCAAACUUUCUAUUGAGUUUUUAACAGUUCGGUGUUGUGAAAUGAAGCAAUAGAACUAUGUAAAUAAAAGCAUUGCCAAAAGGAACCGACAAACAAAGAGGAAGUGUGCAAAGAGAAAUCCAAAUAUGAUUAAGACAUACAGUUUCAGAUUUAACGACCACCAAUCUCCCAGGCAUUAGGAACUGUUGAGCACUGGACGACUGCAUAAUUGCCUCUGUUAUACAUUCCCUAUGCGCCUCAGCUUCUAAUGACAUCUCAUAGUAUUCUUCAAUUGAAGGCUCUCCUUUUAUGCACCUAAUACAAGAAUAUAUAUAAUAUAAGGCAAAGCGAUAAAAGAAAAACUAAGUUCAGUGCACACAAAUACUGGAUACUACACUUUUAUCGGUACUUCAGAUAAACAAUGAAAACGUAUCAUAAACUGCCAUUGCAAAGAAAUUAUAAAAAUAAACUUGUUGCAAUUUUAUAAAGAAUGGAAAAUGCCUACAUCAGCAGGCUUCUCAUCCUUUGGGAGCUAAGGGCAGCUCUAAGCCUAUCCACGUUCAAUAUCCACAUCUCUGCAUUCGUGGAAUCAAAUCAUCGUCGCUACUCCUAGAGUUGGCUAUGAAAUAAUUGCUGCUAGCCUACUAGAUUGCUUGUGUAUUCAUUAUUGUCAAUUAGACAAACAUUUCCACGGUCCAUAUGAUUUAUUUAUUUAUAUAUAUAUAUUUUCACCUCUUCAUUGUGCCAAAGCAGUGGUAAUUACAGCCUACAAAGGAUCGUGGUUCCAGAAUUUGCCUACCAAAAUCACAAAUAAAACACCAAUACUUCAAGCUUUAGCUUUAUAUGUCAAAUGAAGAUUCACUUCUUUAUGUUUCCAUUUUUAUGUAGAAUUUGGAAAUUUGCUUUUGAAGUUUUGGCAUCUAUUGUAUCAAUCAGGUAAACAUGUUAAUGUCUCAGAAUCUUACUCUAUUGUCUUUGUAGGUUGACGAAGCAUUUGUAGAAGUAGCUUUUCCUUCUCAGGCAAAUUCUUUUGUGCAUGGAAUUCUGCAAAACUUCUCUUGAGCAUGUCCUCAACCUAUCAGAAAAAUCAUCAUUGAAGUAUAUUACCUUCCCUAUGCAUGAGGGCCUAUUUGUUUGAGCUUCAGCUUUUUGAAGAGCUGAUUCUAGAUUGUGGCUUUGAAAAUGCUGAUUUCCAAAAGCAGACUAUUGGAGUGCACAUGCUCAUAAAAACUGGAUACUUCUAGUGACAGAAAAGAGUGCCCCUGUCGCCCUUUAAUAGUCAAAUUAGUAUCAAAAGGAGAAAAAAUUUAACAUCAAAAGAGCCCUGAUAUAUACACUAUUGAGCAGAUAAUACAGAAAGUUUAUCAAAGACAGCCUUGGAAGUAAACUUUGUUAAGGCCUUGAGGGCAGUAGCAUAAUAGUCUGAUGUUAGUGCUUCACCUGAUGGUUUGCUGCAAUGUUUUUUUUUUUUGAAACAUAUGGUUUGCUACAAUGUUAUGUUUUAGGAAAGACUUCAGUGGCAUUUCAAGAGCCCAAUGGGCAACCAUAUGUAGCUAAACUAUACAGAAAACAAGGACGUUACCACAAAUACUCCUAACCGACACAUACUAUUACACAGCUACCCUUGACAUGCUGAAAUUUGGGAUGCCUUUAAUUCAGAAAUGCUUCUAUCACCACACGCACACACUUAUUGAUUUAAAGUAUUUUAAGGAAGCGCAGAGGCUGAUACAAGUACUGCCAUAGGAACAACAUAAAUGUCUUGUCUAGUUCUGUUUUCAGUCCAAACUCCAAAAAUUCAAAUGUGGACCUGUAAGACUCUAAGAAAUGUGCAUGGAUGCCAACAAGUAUAAGUGUUGAUAGGUAUACCUUCAGUUCCUCCACACGUAGAAGAUGUAGUAUCAUAGUGUAUGUUAAUCGAAAUUGAGAUUCCAAUCGAGUUGGUUUUCCAACAAUCAAAUUUUUCAAAUCACUUUCUUCAGGAAUUUCAUCACGACACAUAAUGAUCACUGUACCAAUGUUAUCAAGUCCUCUCCUACCAGCUCGUCCAGCCAUUUGAAUAUACUCCCCUGGAAGCAAUUUUCGGUGUUCUUUUCCAUCAAACUUUCUUAAGGAAUCAAACACAACCUGUUGGGUUUACAAAAACGCACUCAGAGCUAGCUUCACAAUCCUGAGCUUAAAGGCAUGGAAAAAGCAAGUGCAACCUAAGCACAGUUAAAGUUAGCUCAGUCCAAAAGUGCACAACGAAACAAGAAAUCAAAGCAUGCAUCUGUGUGUCUCAAACAUCUAUGUUUACAUGAGUUCUCUUUCCAACAAAGAAACACUGAGCAAUGCAUCAUAUGUAACUGUGAACAGCAAACAACAGAAUAUGUAGAAAUGGAAAUAUGUAAACAAAUGUUGGUAAGAUUAAUGCAUAAAAAGUUGGUUUCAUCAAGGCAUGUUGAAUUAAAGCAUGCCAACCUGCAGUCCAUAGUGCAAUCAUAUAAAUUAGAUUGCUAUUUGCGCUUAAAUAUCCCUGUAGCAGCUUCCAAUUUGGAAGAGAUUGUGUAUCAACAGGAAAAUGACAGGGAUUGUGUUCCCAUGGUCGAAAAAAAACACAAAUAAAAUUAAUAAGUAGACAGUGGAAUGCAAGCGGUACCACCUAACAUAGAGUCGAAUGGUAUUUGGUAAUAAAAAUACUACAGCGAUUUAUUCAAGAUACAAAAGCCUUGAAAAUCUUUAUUAGGCACAAAGAAUCUCACCGUUCUUGCUGGUGCAUUAACACCCAUAGCAAAUGUCUCAGUGGAAAACAGUACCUGAAAAAAGUUCAAGAAAGUUAAAAAUUUACCAUUCAGUUAAUUAAGACGCAAUUGUACCACAACAUGCUAUAAUUGUCAAAGGAGCGUUAAAAAAAAGUAACUUUUCAGGAGCAACUGACAACACUGCGAUGUGAUCACAAACAUAGUUUCUCUAUUACUGUUUCAAGUUAAUGGACACCUGCAGCAACUUUGGACAGGACAGGAUGUACUUAAGCCAGUGAUCAGCAUUUGCAAUUUUUUGUUCUAAAUCUAGUAAACAUCCAACAGUCUCAUAAACUAGAGUUCAUGCAUGGACUCGUUUCCUACGAGCUUCAAGAAGUGAAAUUACUAAGGCAAACGCCAUCAUGAAAAAAAAAAGGAACAAGCUGCUGCAUCGGUUAGUACUUAGUACAACAGCAUCUAGUAUGUAAUUAAAUAUGCUACGUAUACAAGUUACCAGAUGUUCAAAGCAUAACCUUGAUUACGCCACGACAGAAUAGCAUCUCAACCACUUCCUUCACAAUAGGGAGAAGCCCAGCAUGGUGUACUCCAAUUCCUCUUCGUAGAAAACUUUGUAUUCCUACAACCUAUCAAGGAGGUCAAAGUUUAAAGCACUGAUUGAAGCAAAGGCGCACAGGAUACAGCACUAAAAUUUAUGAGGUAUUAGAUCACCUGUGGAAGGUUCCUAUCAGAUCCUUUAAGGCGCGAAAAUGCCUUGUCACAGAAGACACGGAUUUCACUUUUCUCCGAACUACUGGUGAGAUCAGUGCCAAACAUGCUAUCUGCCGAUUUAUCACAACGGUUCUUUGAGAAACAAAAGAUCACCACCUGCAAAAGGACCAUCUAAUGAUCAGAUAAACACAUUUCAAAUGUGAAAUGACAUGGUAUGAUUAUGAUAAAAAGGAAAAGUAGAAUCCAUAACCAAAAUGUUGAGUAAUUGUCAUUUUACAACAUGUUGAGAUAGGCUUCAGCAUACAAAUCUAGGGUAAAACAAAUUCAAUGUAAAUGCUGAACAAGAAAGAGGUCAAAUAGAACUAAUAAUGUCAUGAUUGCAUGAUAGAGAAAACAGAAAAGUUAUACUCUCACAUACAGGCACAAGGGAUUUCUUCAGCAGGUUAUUCACAAGUGGCAUCCAAAAUGAAGAUUCUGAUCUCUUUGGCCCUGAGGAGCUUUGUGAAACUGCUGCUGCUCCUGAAUUGGCAUUGUGGUGCUUUGGGUACUUCUGAUCUCUCCCCCUGCUUGAUGUAUCAGGAUUUUUGCCUUGAAUUCCAGCACGUACUGCAGGUGUUCCUGAUUUUGGACCAGGUUUCACUCCAAGCUUGUUAGAAUUUUUCUUUUUGAAAGCAUCCUUUGCUUCUCUAAACCCUUGAGUAAGAAAGGUAUCCCUCUCACAUAUUUUGUACAUUUCUCCAGAAUAGAACAAGCAAUGCUCAAGCGGAACAGGCCUUUUGUUAGUCCUGGUGAACACAUAAUGACAGUAUUGUGCAAUCAAAAUUAUAGCUGGAGGUAUCCAAGCAUAUUCAAAUUUUGCACUUUAAGGCAAAGCUACACUAUCAGCCACUUAACUGUUUGGCCCUCUGCAAUCAAACCCCUAGUCUAAUCUUAUUUAUCCAAUCCCCUAUAUUAUCCACUUAUAUGUAAUCAAGUCCCUUUAAACCAAUCGAUUUAAUUUGUGCUCCUCAACCGAUUUUGUUUAGUUAAGCAUGGCCCUUUCAAUUGGUGCUACUCAGCUUUAUUCAACUUUGAACUAAUGCAUAGGUGUCUGGACAUUAAGUUAAAUCAAUCAAGAUUUGCAUCUUAAACUCAAAAUGUUAACUAACUAAUAUUGGUCUAAAUCCUCAUUAAAAAAUAAACUCUAAUAUGCUGCCAGGUUUUGGCUUAUAAAUGUAUCAUAUUUGUGCAACGUUAGCAAUCUGUUGUAAUCUAAAUUCAUUAAUCAUCUAUAUUACAAACAGAGGAGAGAGCCUUUUCUACAAUCAUCUUUCAUAGUGUACGGGCAAUCAUUGUCCUUGGAUCGCAUGCGUUUACUUGCGAAAUUAUUUUCAUAUCCUGAAAAAUUCAAGGCCAAACUAAGGUCGUGUUUGUUUCAGCUUCGGAUUGUGGCUUUUACAAUCAUAAGCCGAAACAAAUAAGCAGUCUGUCACCCCUGAUCAUAACCAAUUAAUUUCCCUCUUAUACAAUUGAGUACAAGAAUGCUUCAGAACCUAGAAAUGAGUUGUAUUUAAUGGCUACACCACCCUCAUAACCUGUCAUAAAAAACAAGUAACUGAAAUUUAUGAUUUUUAAAAUAACAAUUCCCCGAUAAGGUAGAUUCCAUGUACCCGUUGACUAGCAUGGAGAAAGGAGCUAAUUGGGUAAUUAGAACCAACCUGGUGGCUAAAGCAACUGAUAAUACAGUUCAAGGGCCUUAAUCUAAUUAAUUAUCUUAAAAUACGUACUAACAGCACUUACGACGUGACACGAAUUUUCUUCUGCUUUGUUCGACCAAUCCAGUCAGCAAAUUCAACUGUAUUUGGAACCUGAGAAGAAACAAUUAGGGUUCAACUCCAAACUAAAUUUGAACCAGAGAAAUAAUAUAGAGUUCUCGAACUUUAUUCAUAACAAGCAAAGAAAUUCCGACUACUGCAGUGCAUUAAAAUGGUAAUUUUUGCAUCAGAUUAUUGUAUUAAUCAUUGUUGAUAUUUAGAGGACCAAUUUUCAGUUAUUUUGUUUCCAUGUAGUCCUAUUUCAAUUUGUGGUUGAAUACUAACAGCCAAAAUUUGGACAAUUAACAUCAGAGAAGAUGUCACUUUAGUGCAUGAGUAUCAGAAAUCAGGGUGAUAACACUAUAAGAUCAAAGUCACAUGCUAUAAACUCGGCCAAUCGCACUUCCUAGCAAAAUUCACCUAAGGUCAGAGUUCUGCAUCAACUAUUUCAAAAGAAUAAAAGAUCAAAAGCGACUACAAAUGGCAUUAGCAUGCCAUACUGUCCUAGUUAUUAUUAGGCAACUGUUUGAACAACCAAUAGUGUGCACUGUGCACAGAAUGUUUGGUUGAUAGUGAGCAUAGUGGCUCAAGUGCAGUUCUCAUUAAAUCCGUACCGUUGCCGAAAGGAGAACAAUGUUAAUGUGCUUCGGGAGCAUUAUAAUAACUUCCUCCCAAACUACACCUCUUUCAGCGUCGUUUACAUAAUGCACUUCAUCAAAGAUUACCUGAUUGUACAAGUAACCACACAUCAGCACACACUACUCCUUAAGAUUAUAAAAAUGAUAUUCAAAAUUAAAGGCACAGAGUAAUACACAAUGAUGCAGAAUUGAAAUGGCUUACCCAUUCAAUGUCACGUAUAAUGUCCGCACCUCUGUAGAGCAUUGAGCGCAAUAUUUCAGUAGUCAUAAUUAAACAAGUUGCCUCUGGCCUGAUGCUGACAUCUCCUGUCAGAAGUCCCACAUCAAACUUUCCAGAGAAAUCUCGGUAUUUCUGGUUGCUGAUAGUUUUAAUAGGAGCAGUAUAGACAGCCCGAGUACAAUGCUGCAUAACAAAAUUAUCUGUCAUCAUAAGACCCAUGCUAACAUUUUCUUUUUAUCCGGUGCUGGUUUAAGCCAACUAUUAUGGUAAGCAACGAGAGAUAGUGCACGGAAGUAUGUAGUCUAAAGCUCCAUCUACUAACAAAACUACAAAAGUAACGGUGAAAUCUUAUCAGAAACUAAGAACUGCACACUUCUCAAAGGUUAAGUUAAAGCUUUCCCUCCUAACAGAAGCUGGGUGCUGAACAUCACAGUUUACAAGCUAUAAAUGUGGAAGACGUUAGGUGGUUUCAAAUGAACAGAAGUGCCCAAAAAAAGAAGAAAGAGCAAAGGCAGUCAUACUUUUGUUGCUAAAGCAAAUGCAUACUCGGCAACAACUGUCUUUCCUGCUGAAGUAUGGGCUGCAACGAAGACUGACUCACCCUUCUCAAGAUAAUAUAUAGCCUGUGCUUGGUAGACAUAAAAAAUGUAUAGAUUAUCAAAUUGGCAAUUAUACCAAGCAUUUAAAAACGUAUUAAUUUCAAAAACAUAUUGGUAGGUGAUAGCAAUUAAAUGCCUCCUUGUAAUACAUAGUUCGCACAGGAAAUAUAGAGGAAAGGAAAUAUCUGUCCACUUGGUGUUUCCUUUCAUUCAAAAUUUCUGUGGUAAUCUUGUAUUCCAGUUCAAGGAAGGACAAGAUAAAGAGAAGACUGGACAGCACAGAAAAGACAGAAUAGCAUCGUCGUUCAUCAAUUUCUUAAUUGCUAUUCAAAUUGAAAAAAAAAACUCAGAAGUAUGAAAGCCAGUGACCUCAGCUGGGAAGGACAGAAAUUUAAUCAGUAGAGUCUUUUGGAAGGACUAAUGAUUCCUAGUAUAAUUUGAGUGAGGUUUUUCAGAGUUCAGGUUAACUUAGAAAUUCACACUAUGGCACAUAAAGAAAAAUGGAGAAACGGCAGAGCAAGAGGUUUAGAUGGCGAACAUUGUUAGCUCCCAUACAAAAAAAGCGGGAGUAGUAUUCUCAACACAUCUAUAGUGACUAGAAAUAGCCACUCUAACUAUCCUAAGUCCUAAUAAAAUCUUGUCAAGUUCAAGUUGUGACUGAGUAUAUACUAUCAAACUAAAAUUGCAGGCCAAGCCUGUCAAAUAUAUACAAAGUAUCACAACCACAAAUAUGUAGUAUGAAUGUGCCUAUCAAAGUUCAUGUAAAAGGAGCGGUGUAUACUCUUUGGAUGCAGUAGUAUACUAGAUGCUGAGAUAAGUACUGAGAAGGCAUUAAGAUAGAAGGCACAGAUGAUUAUGAGUACCUUACCUCCUUCUGGAACUUAUCUAAUUCAAAUGGAAAGUCGAUUGCCAUAUCUGGAACGAGAUUGUAGAAGUUAGUCACAAUAUCUUCGUCCCCACCAACAAGUGCCCAAACCUAUAAGUGAAAUAGAGAUACAUUGCCGUUAAAGAUUCAUCCAUGAUCUAUCUUUAGACUUUAGGGAAUUGAGAGACCACUUUCUGCAACACUAUCCACCCAUGAAGCUUAUGGAAUGAGAAGCACAGCAUACGAAGUGAGAUACAAAACGAAGCAUAAAGUGUGCCUACCUUGCCAUCAUGUGUUGGCUUGUCAUCACCUGAUAUACCUGAUUCUUUUCGUGUAUCUUGAACUUCAGAAGAUAACAUUUGAUCCAAGUCUGUUUGAGUUUCAGGAUCAUCCCUUAUAACAUCUGCUUCAUGAUUCUCGGCGUCUAGCUUUGUUAUAGUCUCAGAAGCACCUUGCCACACAUCAACUUUUUGUUCGCCAACUUCUGCCAUCGGAAAAUGAAAAUCUUAACAAGAAACAAUAAAGAGUUAACAAAAGCACAGAAAUGCAAUAAUGUCAUAGUAGCAAUAAUGGUGAUGACAGCCCAUAGUCUCUUAGCUAUUACAAUUUGCCAAGAGAAUAUGCUCAUGCGACUUGAACAUAUACCUUUGGUUCCCUCAUCUUCAGCCGAUUGUUGAACACCACCCUCCUGCAAUGCCUUGUUGGCAGCAUCUUCCUCCCACGCUAUCUUGAAAAGAUCAUCAAACUGCACUGAGUACUUCUCCUGCAGGAAAAUGGGAUAAUCAGACUAUAAUAACUCUAGAAUGGCAAAGUAUGCAGAAAUGUGGAAUGUUGCUCUAACUACCAUUGCGUCAUUCGAUGACGAUACAGGUUGCUCCUCUACAAGUUCUCCAUUCCGGAAACACUUCCAUUGGCUUUUAUACUCCUACAAGAGAGGUAUAGACAACCGCAGUCAGUUUGGCGCAUCCACAACAAUCCUUACGGUUACAUGGCAAAAGAGAGAGAAAUAUAGUAAAGGACAAACCUUCAAUUGGCCCAAUUCCAAUCCCUUGCGGAACCCCGGAGGAGCAACCUGUGCCGGGCCACCAGUCAUAAGCUCACGCAUCCAAUCACCGUUACGCGCACCCUCCGGGAAUGCCUUCUCCAAUGCAGCCGCCUCAACAUCGUCAUCCUGUAGACCACCCGGACGAAAGGGUCUGUUGUUGAUGCUCCCCCUGACGAAGUCCUUCGCCGGACCAGGCAUCCGUGGCGCCAAACCCACGGUCCCCGAACCGAACACCUCGCCCAUCUCCAUCUGCACGGACUCAGGAUCCCACACUUGCGACUCCAACGCAGGCUGCGACGUUCCCCGGCCGCGCCGGAAAGGCGGCUCCCAGGCGGGCGCGAGCACUGUGCGCGGUGCGGAGGGCUCCAGCGGCGGCCUGGUCAGUGCAAACCAGUCCACGUCCCACACCCUCCCGGCAUCGGCCGCGGUGGGGAGGUGGAGCUCGGGGUUGAGGUAGUUCGCCUCGAGGUACUCCUUCAAGCUGCUCGGGCUCCCAGGCGGGUAGGCCGGCGGCUGUGGGUCGUCACCACAACAAUGGCGGGUUUAGGGUUUACAGAUUGCAGAGAACAACACGGGUGAUUUAGGGCGGAAUUGGUGGGUCGCGUACGUACCAGGACGAAUUCGGGAAUGGGGCUGGAAGGGUGCGGGGUAGGGUCGAGGCGGAGGUGGCCACCGUGGCCGGAGAAGCUGAUGCGGAACGGUAACUCGCUCGCCGGCGAGGGGGCAGGGCCGUCCAUGGAGGCGCCUCGCGGCGAGGCGGCCGUUUCCGUUUCGACGAACUGCUUCAGAGUUCAGAAGCUUGGAACUUGAGAGCCUGCUUGCAAGUUCACAGCGUUUCGGUCAUGUCCUGGAGAAAUCAUUACCAAAAGAUUUUGACAGCAUGUCAACAGGGUAAGGCUUGUUCCAGGUCAAAAAAAAAAGAUCACAGAUUUUUGCCCCUUCGUUAAGACCCGUUUCAAACCAAAAAUCCCCUUUGAAAUGCUAAGAUUAUUAUGCAUAAACCAAAUAAUUUCCGGUGGAAACCAAUAAAAUCCCCCCCCCAACCCAGUACGGAUCAAGGUUUUUUUUUACUUAUGCUCUUCAUAAUGGUCAAGGCAAGUAUGGAAUUCAGUAACUUUAAUAUCUCCUCUUUCUUUUUAUAUAAAAUCAUAAAGUUCAUAACAAAUCCUUGUACGUAAAUGUAUCUGCACGGAGAAUUAGUACUUUUAGUAUUUGACCUCUCAAAAACUGUACGUAUGUUUCACAUAAGAACCAUAAGUAUGAUUUCAUUUUCACGAGGAUCAAAGAAAGAACAUGUUAUUAACCUCAUCUUGCACCUAAUGGCAUCGUGAAAUUUGCCUAGUGAUAGUUUUUUUCUAUAAAUUAAAUAAAUCAACAUUUUAUUUCAUUUUCAAUUAGAGUAGAAAUCUUAUCUGGAGCAUGAAUUAUUUGCUCCAUCACAUAAGAGUUUGAGCCAUGUGAUAAGUUUUCAAGCUUACAUGGUCCAGGCUAUUGCGGUUUUGUACGGUAACAUGGCUUCCGAGUUUUAAUUCUAGAAUAUUUUGAACUCGACAUCUUGCAUGAUCGCUAAAGAGUAAUGUUCAAACCUCCUUGCAUACCAUGGCUUUUAAGAAAAAAUUGUGAUGAGUUGUUUGGUAGAUUACUCAAUUUAUCUUCAUCUGUAAAGUAUGAUAGCAUCAAUGACACCAUUGUUAUGAAACCCUUCCUAGAGCUCAAUCGUGUUUGUAACUUGUUGUAGUUUAAUUUGAAAAAAAUCCAAUUUACUACCUCCAAAUAUAUGGUAGAUCCAAAUAACCACCUAAACAAUAAAAUGGUUUAUUUAACCCCUAGUUUGCUAAACCAGAUCAAGACACACAUUUAGUACAUAUUUGAAACCAUUGUUGAUUAGGCGGAAUUAGAAAUCUAGUUUGCUAACUAGGAUCGACAUGUCAGCAGCCCAACGUGGCACGUAUAUUUAUGUUCAGAUCACCCCCUGCCUGACAAUACAUAGUAUUACUCAUGUUCUUCCUCAUUUCUAUCCGGUUCGACAGUGCCCAGCUCCACCGCCGGCGGCCGCGAGGCGCCGGCACAGCGGCACCCUCCCGGCACUGUCCUGUUGCCGCUUGGUGCAGAACGCCUGGCUUCACAGCAGCCUUUGCCCCUGGGCGGCAUCUGGCUCUUGCCUCGCCACCGCUUGCUGCUCGGCGCACGGCUGGAAGAGCACGAACUAGGAGCCGUUGUUUUUGGGGUGGUGUCACUGCCGGCUCUAAGGAUCAAGCGACGCACAUCCUCCACCUCAUGCUGGGUAGGUAUUCGAUGAAUUGUUUCUUUAGUAAAUAUUUCACUGACGCAACAAUUUUUAUAGCCUGAGGUUGCCUUGGCUUGUAAUUUUGUAGUAAAUUGAAUGUACAAAUUUCAGUUUGUUGUCUUCUGCUACUUUAUGGUCCAUUUGGAAACUGAUUGGACCCAAUCUCUCUCUAGAACUUGACAGCAUCGAGCAACUUUUGGACCCCAUGGUCAACUCUACCAGGCUCUUUGCUUAGUAUCUCUGUAUCUGAAGGAAGAACCGUACAAUGCCGCACUGAAGUGUUCCAAGUGACAAUGUACCACUGAAUUAAACCAUCAUAUCCAGGUAACUAAUCAAAAUUAAAGUACAGUGAUUUACUAGACUACCAGCUAGCAAUUAUUACAUCGAAAUAUAAGGAAUCCUGCCAUAUGCUACCAACAUAGCAUGUUACUGCCUGGAAGUUUUUUUCUUUUGCUUUGCAGCAGCUAGUUUCUUCUUCUUGCUCGCAGUACUGUUGAAGCUGCUCUGGGAAGGCAUAUUAGAUGCCUCAUCUUGAGUGUUGCCUGGAGCUGCUGCAUUGUUUCUGGACUUUUUUUGGCCCACUGCACUCCAAACCUGGAACAAUAAUUUCAGUUAACAACACUUAAAUAAUAAUUAAUUGUAUAGCAAAAGAAUGAGAAAUGUUACUUGCCUCUUUGCCUUUCUCCAUGAUGUUUCUCUUCUUUGAUUUAGACUUUGCUCCACAUCUUCGAAUGUUGUGACCUGGUUGAUGACACUUGCUACAGUUACCUCUCGAGCCCACCCUAGAGACCUUUGUGGCCUUUUUUGCUUCACUAGGUUCCCUUCUUCUCUCCUUUCUCGGCCUACCUGGCAUCUUCACAUAGGCUGGAGGCUUAGGCUUGCCGUGACCUCUUGGCCACUGUUGCAUUCCCUCCAUUGGCAUCAUGCAGUGAUCAUAUGUCUUGUUGUAGUGCUCAACUGAAUAGCAGUCAGCUAUGUAAUCUUCAGGUGGUUUAGAACUGAGAUAAAGUGCAGUGAUAGCAUGAGCACAAGGGAUACCUGCCAGCUGCCAGUAUUUGCAAGAACAAGUUCUUCUCUCUACAUCAAUUUUGAACCUCUUGUCCCACACUUUCACCUCAAAGCCAUCCUUCCCAUUCCAAAUUGCAAAGCAUUUCUGUGCAAGAUUAAUAUACUUGUUCACAUGUCCACAUGACUAAUUCACCACCUACAGCCUUGUAUAUCUCGGCAUAAACUUCAGCUACUUCACCCACUAUGAUACAAUCAGACAUGUACCUGCAACUCUGAUCAUCAGCUAAGCUCCUCACACCGUUACUCAUAUCAGCUCCGGGGGGCAGCCAAUGAAAAUCAACAUCCUCAACUGUCAAAUUGACAGGGUCACUAAGAAAACCCCUCAACUCUGGCAGUGAUAGCUUAUCCCUCUCUAUGUGUGACAAUGCAAUUCUACCACGCACAUAGUUCAAUGAGUAACCAUCAAAAUCAAAUUCGCCUCCAAAGUGAAAUCUUACAGGCACUACCUCCAGAGGGUCCAUAUCCCCUGUCCAGAAUUGUAAAAAGCAAGGUGUAUAACCAUCACAUUUUUUCUAGAAAAAAAAAAGAAAGUGAAAUCAGACCUGAGUGCUCCGUGCUGCUAGCUUGAGUACUAAUUAUAUUGAUCCACAAGAUAUCUAAUGACCACGUUCUUGGUCCCUACCUAAGCAUGAUGGCCAUGGUCAUGUUCAUGCAAUUAUCCCAACAACCAUUAAUAUCCCUCCUCACGUCAUGACACAUCAAUGUGCACAAACAAAAGAUCCUGCUCCAGUUUCUCUCUUAACUUCACGGUGCCAUCCACAGUUUCUACCUGUGCUACGAAGACACGUCGCCGGCUGCUACCUUGCAAAUACACAACCCUAGGUAUCCAAAGUCCUAGCCGCAAGUGCAAAUUAAUAUGUCAUAUUUGCAUCACACGAGGGAGAUUGGAAAAUGGAAACAUACCUGCCCGUUUUCGUUUGUGCUGAUGAACUUGUUCACUCCUAUAUCAUUCACCUAGUUGAUCUGGCUGUGUCACGCAGAAACCGAAGGCGAGGGCCGGCGGCCGGCGGGCGAAAUAAAAUUGACGAGCGAGAGAAGGGGAAGACACGGGACGGCCUAUUUUGGAUCUAAAGAUACUUGCCAUGUAUGGCUGCCAAGGUGUCAGUCUUAGUCAUAAAAAACCGGCCAUGUCAGCAAAUCUGGUUUUAGAUAUGUGUAAAAGGUGUGUUUUGAUCUGGUUUAGCAAACUAGGGGGUUAAAUAAACUAUUUUAUUGUUUAGGGGUUAUUUGGACCUACCAUAUACUUGGAGGCGGUAAAUUAGACUUUUUCCUUUUAAUUUCGAAGGUGCCUUUUUAUCCCUAUUUUGUGUUGUAAUAUAUUUCUAAAUUUUAGUAGAUCUAAGACCGUGAAAGCAUUUCUGAAGACAAAUGCACAUGAGUAACUUGUAUUUUCCAAACAGAAAUGUAUUUUGAAGUCAUUGACGUACAAGCUUUAAAAAAUCUAACCAAAUGGAUUAUUUUAUAAAAGGAAAAAAAUGUUUCCUAUAUUGCAAGGAACUAGUUUCCAUUUCUUUCCUAAAAGUUUACAUGGCACAUGUUUAUAGAUUGCAAAUUUUAGUUCCCUUCUUAAGGCCUAACACAGCAAGAUAUAUUGAAAAUAAAGAUGCAUAGCCUGGACAUAGGCACGUAGCAAUAAAAACUUAACCGAUAGCACUACAAAUAUCUUCUGCAUGUCCGAAUUACCAACGAAGGCAUGCCCAACUCCGAUCAGAAGUUUGAAAACAAGGCAACGAGUUUUCAAAAUUCAAAAGAGUUUAAUUCACAAGACGAAAGACAAGGCCUAUGGUUAAUUUAGAGAUCCUAUAUUACCGGGUGCUCUCCUCUCCUCAAUCCCAUCGCUCUCCUUGUUCGCUCCGGGCUCCCACUCCGACUCGAUCCCUUCACAAAAACACCUCCAUAUGCAUGCACCUCCUCACCGAUGCUGCCGCAAGUCGUUCCGAAUUCGUCUUUCUUUCCCGGAGCUCAUCACAUCUCGAGCGCGCGUUGAAUUCCUGAUGCGAGGAUAGGAAUCGAUCGACCUGCAGCUUCCACACACGCGCCGGUGCAGCGGUCUCUAGUCGGCGUCGGCGUCGGCGUCAGCUGGGAACGCCGCCGGCCAUGGCGAUGUCGGCUUUGUCAACGUCCGCCCUGAGCUCUCUGGAAGCGAUGCUCCAGUCGCUGAUGCGAGGAUCAGGAGGAGGAGGCGGCGACGACGACACGCCCGUAGACGACACCCUCGCCUCCCCGCCGCCGCCGCCUCUACCCGCACGGCCGACCCCACGAGGCCGUCGUCCCUCGCGUCGCAGAGUCCGGCCCGCCGCGGCGGCGCGUACAUUGAUGUCACCGCCGCCGUCGUCGUCGCGGUCACCGUCGCCGUCACCGCCCAAGGUUCCACCCCCCAUUAACGUCAUCAGCAUUGUCCAUUGAUUUGUCUCAAAUGAUCCGUGAUCGCGAGAAUUAACCAGCCGCCACGCAUCUGAUGGCUUGCGUUGGCUCAUUAUGGCAGGAACGGGAAGACGCUAGGACGGAUGAUGUCUCGCUGCUGGUGGAGGGGCUGGAGAGGAAGGCGGUGGAGUUGGAGGCGCAGCUGCGGCGCCGCAGCGAGGAGGAGAACGCCGCGCUGAAGCGGCGGAUGGAGAGCUACCACAUCCGGUGGCUGCAGUACGAGAUCAGGAUCAAGUCCCUGGAGGAAGCCUUCCACGAACAAAUGGCCGCUCUGCAGGUUCGUCGGAGUCCUGAAUGAGCACUGCAAAAGUUUUGCACGCACCGUCGACAUCCCAGUCUGAAACUCUGAACGCGAUGAUCCAUCGUCUUCUUCCUCGCGUGUCUGUGUUGAUGCAUGCAGCUGGCUCAGGACGCGGCACGGAGGGCCGAGGAAACGGCGGCGUACGACCACCGCGAAUCCUCGGAACACCACGUCGACGCGCCCGAGGACCCGCCGGUGAGGCUGUGGCACGGCCGGGACCGCAUGGUGGUGGGCGCCAGGCGGAGCGCGGUGAGCCGCCUCGGCGCGGAGUUCCGGCGCCAGAGCCACACGCUGGAGCGCGGCGCGGAGGCGCUCGUCGCCGAGGAGCCGGCGGCGGCCGCCCCGAGCGGCGGCUGCCCCUCCUCCUCCGCCGCCGACGACCUGAAGAAGCUCAAGGCGCAGUUCCGCGCAUGGACCAAGGACUACAAGGCCCGGCUGCGCAGGACCAAGGCCGAGCUCGGCAGCAGGGACGCGCGGCGUCAGGGCAGCUGCUGGAUCUGAACCUGUCACGUAUGGAGUUCGUCUAUGAAUGAUGGUGUGAAAUUUUAAUUCAGAGAUUCGACGAAUUUCAUGAAAUCGAUUCAAAUCUUGGAGUAGAAAUCUUUGGCAACGUUGAAUGAGAUGUAGCCGUACAAAGAAUUCAAAUCAUGCGCAUGCUGUAGCCGUUCAGUUGUUCAACCACUGGAGUAGCAGCUGUGAGUAGCGCAGGAAGACGAGAUAAAAAAAUAAGUUUGGCUUGAUUUCAGGUGAGGAUUUUACCGGUCUACGAUUAGGGAUUACGUUACCGUCACCUUGCUUGAAAGGUGCUGCACGAUUUGACGGCAGGGCAGGGGAUUAUGCGGAUGGCUCCUCGGCUCCUGCCCUGGGCCUGCUACAGCGUGACCGCGAAACAGUAAUCAACGAACGAUGUGGCCAUUUUCUCUGAGAAGGGUUAGCGCCAGCUACUGGGUGUCACCUCACCAGGAAAAUGUCCACGACAGCGAGAGGAGAGGGAGACCGGGAGGAAGGUUCUCUGUUCUCUCGACAUUCAGCAACGUGUUUUUAUAGAAGUUUUUGGGAGUUUAGCACGCCUGACAUCCCAAACGAGAUCAAAAACUGCAACGAACGACCCUUCACUUAUCAACGGCGGAGCAGCCACCGGCAUGGCAAUAUGAUGGAAACGACUGAACUGAAAAAAUCGCUAGCAUUUUUGCAUAUGAAUGUAAAACAACAAUGAGAUGGCUUUCCCACGGGUUUGGCAGGGGAGAGAGAACCAGGGAGGGUCAUGUGAAAGUGGGUUGGAGCACGAACCGACGGCUAUAUUCUUUUUGCAAACCUUUAUAUCUUUAUCAGCAAAGAACAGUUGAAUUGCAACCAUUAGAUCAAUCAUCGAAUUCUAGGGUUUUCAUUAUCUCCGAACCAGCUACAAUGACCCAUUUCUCCUCCUCCUUUUUGUCUUGAAGUUGAAAUUGGCAUAGGUAUCACAUCAUUGACUACAACACAUCAUUCUUGGCUUUCUAUGCCGUCAUCUUCUUGUACUAUCUCUUUAUAUUACAAUAUGCUCACGACCCUUCCAUCUGAAAUUACUGGUUAUUAUUUAUUCAUAUCCAACAUUUUGUCCACUAGAUUUGUGAUGGAGAGAUAGAUGCAAAAGCAUUGAUUGUUAUAUGACAUCUUGUGGUGGUGGAUCAAAGAAUGAAUUCUGAUGCCAAUCAAAUGGAAAGUCAUUCAAUUGUCCCCCAAUAUAAAUGUCUGACUAGUUAGCAGAACGGAAUGAGAUCACUGGUUUCAAUAGGAUCAUAUUGUAUGAAAACCUACGUUUUUCAUCUUAAUUUUGUUUUGCUUUGCUUUGCUUUUAGUUAGUGUUUGUUGAUUCUCUUUCGAGUCCUGUCUAAUAAGCUAGGGCUCCUUCAACCCGAACUUGCAUCGAUUUUGACUAUUUAAGGCAACUCAUCAUAUCAUAAAAUACUUGACGCAUUUGAUAAAAAAAUCUUGCCAAACUUUUAAAGCCACGACCAUCAAUAAUUGUCAUAAUCUUAUAUUUAUUCGAUAUUGUGACUAUACUUGUAUAAGAAAAGAAAAUACUAGCCAAAGCUAAGCAUCAAAUCAAAAAAGCUAUAGACAUCAAGUAUUAGUGACCGGUUCAACCUUAUAUUGGCACAUAUACUGCUCUGUUAACCUUUUUCCAUUAUUAAAAGGUGACAAUUCUCGUGUUCGCUAAAACGCGGUAAUAUUUGUUACUUGUUCUUAUUUCUAUGUACUUUCCUAAAACAACUGACUAAACCGUACCAACAAUUUUUUUAGAAAUAUGACCAAUCAAUUUAUUCUAAUCCACUCGAAACAAGAAGAUGAUAACAAGUGACCGAACAUGCAACCACACACGUGACUCUUGUAUUCUUUCUCGUUCCUCUCAAGUGCCAUGGAUACUCGCUACGCCUCUAUCUCCCUUACCACUAUCACUCACCGUGAUACCCCGCACCAGCACGUUCAAUAUAACCUAAUCGCUAGAUCGAUAUGGCUUCUAUGCGAAGAAGAGUGUAAUCUUAAACCUGACUUCUUUUUUGGCAGAAAAAAUAGGAAGAUCCUCUCCAAAACGAAGCAGUGGAAUUAAAAAAAGGAAAGAAAACAAUGCCUGCUUCCACAGAAUUAGCAGGCAUUUUAUCCGAGGGCUCAAGAUUAGCACAGCAUUGAAAACGGCGCGAAAGGUAAGCAAAAAGGGAGAGAGAAGAAGGUCGCAGCCGGCGACCCGGCGAAAAGCCCAAACGGUAAAGCAACGUCGCACCGCACCGCAUCGCAACGCAAAGGAGGGGAGCGAGCGGAGGAGCGUGAGCCGGGUGACCCGCGCCGCGCCCCCCACCCCAACAAGUAGCCAGCCAGCCAGCCAGAGCACACCACCAGCCGAGGCCAGAGAGAGAGAGAGGGAGGAAAGAGGGAAGCGGGCACAAGAGGCCACCGCAGCGGCGAGCAAGACGCCUCCACACGUCUCUCCUCCUUCCCCUUCUUCCCCUCCCGUUCCUGUAGCGGCGCCCAGCCCAGCCCCAAACCCCGUGGAAUCCUCGCCCGAUGCGGCGCGGGUAGGGGCCGGGGGCGGAGCGGAAUGGCGGGGGGCGGCGAGAAGCGGCGCCGGGUGGGAGGUGGGGGCCACGAGGAGGAGGAGGAGGAGGUGAAGGAGAUGGACCGCAUCUCGGAGCUGCCGGACGCGCUGCGGCUGCAGAUUCUGAGCCUGCUGCCGCUCAAAUCGGCCAUCCGCACCGGCGCGCUCUCCUCGCGGUGGCGGGGCCUCUGGGAGCAGCGCUGGCCGGAGCCGUCCUCGCUGCGCGUCCGCCUCCCGCCCGGCGCGGCGGGGGCGGCGGCGCGGGUGGAGCAGUUCGGGGCCAUCGACCGCCGCGGGAGGCGCCGGAUGGACUGCUUCUCGCUCGCCUUCCACGGGGGGCAGCUCACGCAGCCGGACCUCAGGCGCUGCCUCGACUACGCGGCCGCGUGCGAGGUCGAGGACCUGCACCUCCGCCUCGACGGCGCCGCGGGGAGGGGGUCGCGCGGGGGAGGGGGCGGGGCCACCCGCGGCCGGGGCAUGCUCACCGUGCACUUCCCCGUGGGUAGCCGCCUGCUCGCGCGCCUGUCCGUGCGGGGGCUCAACCUCACGGCGGCGGCCAACGCGAUGGUCGCCACGCUCGAGGUGAUCCACCUCCACUCCGUCUUCCUCACCGACGCCGCGCUGCGCCGGGUCGUCGCCGCGUGCCCCCGCCUCCGGGAGCUCGAUCUCCGCUACUGCCGCCGCCUCCGACGUAUCGACUUCAGCGCCGUGGGGGUGCCCAACCUCAGGAGCUUCACCAUCGUCGACUGCUCCCGCACCACCGAGAUGCGAGUCCCAGUGGCGCCACGCCUCCGGUCGUUCCGCUUCAGCGGCGCCUUCCUCUCGAGCAACAUCCUUUCCGGUGCUUCAGGGUCUCUUGAGCAUCUCUACCUCUGCUCCGGCGGGCCAGAGACCGGCUUGCCGCCCACCAACUUGCCCACCUCAGUUCCUCGCCUAUCGAACCUCAGUGUCCUCACCCUCUGCAGCAUUGCGCUCCAGGUCUGCUCAGGGAUCUAUGCCAUUUCCUUUCAGCCCAUUUCAUUGCUUACACGCUUAUACUUGUUCGUAUUGCCUUGUAGUACAUCUCUGCUUCCACAGCCAAGGACGUAGUGGAGAGCAAGCUGCACAGCUUGAGAGAGCUCCAUUUCCUCAUGUUUGGCAUGGCCAACUCCAACCUUGCUGACAUCUAUAGCUUCCUCAAGACUUGUUCAUGUCCUCAGUUGGAGCGGCUCUUUGUGCAGGUAUCUGCUUAUUUUUUCAUGCAAAAGUUUGCAUUUGGUUGCUAGUUUGUCUAUGGCCAUGUGAUCUGUUUCUCAACAUGUUCCACUGAACAUGCAGCUCCCGACGAACAUUCAUGAUUCAUUCACGGAGAAUUUCUUGGCGGUAGCGGAGGAAGAGCCACCAAAAGGUGGAUUAGAAAACCUUUGUUUAGCCAAGAUGACAAAUUUCAAGGGGCACCGUAAUGAGAUGCAACUAGUAGAAUUUCUUCUUAGAAAGUCUAGUUGUCUGAAGAAACUAAUUCUGACUGCUCCUACGGAGGAUCACCCUCAAGGACUCCGCAAGAUUCAGUCAGAUGUUCUGCCCAAUUUUCCUAAAACAGAAAUAUUACAUCUGGAAAGAGCUUCAGCAAAUACCCAGAUAAUUUUCAGCGAGCCUGAUGGUCCUCAGAUCCAACCAUUGCAUUCGGAGGUCUUUGUCAGGUUUUAGAUUGAAAUGAGCAAAAUAUUGUUGUAGUCCAGUGUCUGCUCAUUAAUUUUUAGAUUUCUAGCUGUUAGAUAACAGACAUGGGGAAAAGAAAUGUGCAAGGCAUACAGAGUUUGAUAUAUGUUUUCUACAAUUCAUGUUACUGAAAUAUUCUGGCAUAGUGGUUGAAAUGCGAGGUAAUCUGAUCUGCCACAUUUUCCUAUUCUACCAUCCCCAGCCUCUCCUUGCCAGCUUGUGUGCAUGCCUGAAGAAUUGAAUGCUUAUCAGGCAUCUCUUUGGUGCUAGCUUAUUCUAAGCUGCUGUUACACAACCAACCAUCUAUUGGAACAGAACCACCUUCAUUUUAUUUGGGUGGAUUAGUUUUGUUGUACAUUAAAAUCGGUAAGUUAACUGUGUAUUCCAGAUAACUUAAAGAGUUAGCUGGAGCUUGUGCAAUUCUCUUGGUUAAUCCUGAAAUAACAUUAUAUUAUUCUGUCUAGGUUUCUUCUAGAUACAGAAGGAAUCUGAUAGAGCAAAGUUCAUAUAACUUGUCACCUGUUUUUAGUGGUUCCUGUAAAAUGAUGCAUCAGGGUAGCUUGGAAAAUUGUCCUUUUGUAGAUAGGAUUAUGUUACCUUAGUAUCUAUGGACUCUAUCUGGAUUCUCCAUUUGUGUGAAGAUAUGGUUUAAGCUUAGAUAUGACUGGCAGCAUGGAACAUAUUUUUUAUCGUUAGAUGGAUAUGAUUGUAUGAACUUCUGUACACUGAAACUUCCUUGCAGAUUGAAUCCAUGAUAUCUACGCACCCUGUAUGGGGGCUGUUAUUUCUGGUCCUUGCAUCCUGGUAUUGUCUUAUUUGUCUUAUAUCCGUGAACUAUAUAGGUCUUCCCUGUUUGACUAUCUAGCAUCUUGUUUAUAGCUGUUCCCAUGAAGUCCUAUAAGAAAGUGAAUGUAUAUUUGGAACCAUAUUUGAUUCUUUUUUCGUGAUUAGGGGUGAACGUGUUUCAGGACAACAGCUUGACAUUGGGUAGCUUGGAAGUAGCGCUGCAAUGUUGUUGAUGUGUUACCUUCAUGCCAAAAUAACAGGCUUGCCUUACAAUGACAACUAUUAUGAAUUUAUACUUUAUGUGGAGAUUACAUCCUGAUGGUACUAGAUGUAUGUGGAAUUAUUGGAUGAUUAUGUUUUUUUCUUUUAUUGCAUCUUUAUAAAUGUAUGAAUGUAAUGUUUAUUGUUCUGAUAUUUUUAGUGUGAUUAUCCAUAAUUAUCUUCCAAUUUGGUCUACUAUGGCUACUAUACUACAACCAAUCAAAUUUAUUAUUGGCCUUGUAUGGAAGCAGAAUUGCGGAUGGGGGAAAUGAGCUUACUCACUACUAUCAAUUACGAUUUUUUGAGGCUACUGGUUGCAAUACUUCGAUUAACAGGAAAUAAGUUAUCAUGCUAAUUUUUUUAUGACAUAAUUGACAGUGUGCUGUUGGCAGUUUAGUUUAGCCUUAAAGAUUUUAUACUUGGGCUGUUGAGCCAAAUUUAUAUUUGCUAUAUUUGGUCAUCUGGGGGGUCUUAAGUGUUCUUGUUUGAUGUUUGGGCCACUGAGUAGUGGUGGAGAUAAAUGAGGUGAAGUGGUGCUGUGUGCUUAGCUAGCUUUGCAGUGACGAGCCACUAAGGAAUGUUGGGUGUAGCAAUUUCAUGCUGAUGGUUGGUAGUAUUUUCUGCGUGUACCUUGGGGUGUUUGGGGGGGGGGGGGGGGUGAAUCUUUGUGGAAAUUCUAUGGUGCUACUUUUAUGAAGUGAAAGCCAUAUCACCUUAGUGCUUUGCACUUGUGCCUUAUCCUUUCAAACCAUGCAGAGCUGUAGAGCCACACAGCAUAGUGAAAUGAUAUGGAUAGUGUUGGUAAAGGCGUCCAUUAUCUUUGAACCUUCUUAUGCACUUGAAUGUUUGAAGCAGUGAUAUUUGUGCGUAGCCUUCAUAUCUCUCCUGAAUUUAGCACUUCUUUUUGAAAGUUUGGGCUGCUUAGGAAUGUCAAACUACAAGGAAUCGCACUUGAUGUGAAGUUACGGAGCUGGACUUUGGACUUGAUGAUUUAUGAAGCUGAGUGUUACAAGAUGUAUGACAAGCAAUACAGAAUUUCUAUGUUUCUGUUGCAAACAACCUGAUGAUCACUUGAGUACUUGACUAUUAAUAUGCAAUAUAUCGCUGCCUUCGACUCAAUGUAUCUGUCUGUACUGCUCCAGAUGUGGCCACUUUUUGACUUGUUUACAUAUAAUACAAGUGCACACUUCAAGUCUACCUUUGGAGCAAACUAUGUGUUCAUUCAACCCCUGAAAUCCACCCCCCCCCCCCCCCCCCAAUCUUUUAAAUACUGUGACCUGGAAGGCUGGAACCCCCACUGAUCAAUUGUGAUUUCUUCGUUAAUGCCAGAUUUUUUCAUUAAUAUUUUUUAGUCUGUAAUCUGCAAUCAUUAUAUAACAAAUUUGUUGUAAAAAGUACUUUACCUAUCUAUAUCCUCUAAUUAUAUUGCCAACUUGCAAAAUACAGGAAUAAGAGGAUGCUUACAAGAUCUUGAAGAGUGUGGCAUUUGGAAAAGAUUGCUUAUGCUGGUGAGGAAAAGGUGUAUCCUACUUUGUGUAAAUUAGUGGUGGGUCUAGGAUUGACCUUGCAGGGGAGGUGCAUGAUUUUAUUAUUGAAGGCUGGUAUAGUUAUAUCCCCCAUACUUUGUUAAGAUAUGUCUUAUUCAAUCUCUAGGAUAUGUUGGGUAUCUUAGGCAUAUAGGUGACUCUUGUUUGCGACACUACCCAUAGUUCUUUCGAGUAACGUAUGCUAGCUUUUCCUGUGGCUUGAUAAAUAGUCUUCUAUUGAAGGGACUUGUACAUUAACUAACGCAACGUCCAAUUCUAUUUUGACCUCAGAGAUAACUUUCUUUUCUUGUCCCAUUUUUUUAGUAUAAUUAUUAUCUCAAUAAUAUAUUCCUUUGUGUUAGUUUUAGGCUUUGAGCCUUUUGUGGUUCUACCAGGGCAUAAAUAUAAUAUAGUUCUAUCUGUUAUUUGGGCCUUAGCUUUAUGCGAUUCUUUGUAAGAUAUGAAUAUCUCGAAAUUUUCAGAAGAUCCCAACCCAAUUUUCAUGAAGCAUCUUUUCAUGAAUAAAGGUCAUUAGGCCCAGUUUGGUAAUUAAAUACACUUAUUAAAUCAAAACUUUGAAUCUUUAACACUGACAUAUCGAUUUAGCCAUUAUGUAUUAGUUUUAUGAAGAGUUGAAAACUUGAGAUGCAUUCAGAUGCUACAUUUCUAAUAUUCGGGCAUCUGAACUAUCUAGUAUUCUAGUGUGCUGUCAGUCUGCAAAUUACGUCUUGUCCUUUGGUCAUUUCUGCAAGUACCUGAACGUGUUUAUGGUCCUGCACUCAUAUUUUAAAUGUUGAUGUUCAGAUGAACGUUUAUAUGGUCCUGCACUCGCAUUUAAAUGUUUGGUAAAUGGAUGUUUCAUUAAUAUUGAAGGGAAAGUUCUAACUUUCUAGGGAGUCAAGCCGAGGGAGAAAGCAAUAUUCUUAUUAUGUAAUAACCAGAAAGAACCAAUCAUACAUCAGCUGAUGAAAUGUCUGCAUACGGCAUGGCUGUUUGGGCUGCUCUUCUUUUCCCUUGCAACAAAUUGGAUAGGGUUGCUGGCAUGGCAAGAUAAAGUGGGGCUUGCCAGGUGGCUUCUACUUCCAAUCUUUCUCAGCACAUCUUGCAUUACUCUUUAUCCUUAAUAAAACCAAGAUCAAUUAAAUCACAAAAUUAUAUGUAUGUAUGCUUUCUUAACGUCUCUUAAACUUUUGGUGUCCUUUUUCGUACCAGCUUUUCCUCUGUCCUUCCACUCCACUGUAUUGCAACAGUAUCUGUGCAGCUACUCAGAUAUGGUCUGCAAGAAACCUGCUAGUUGGGUGGGUGGGUGAGUGGGGUUGUCUGUGAUUUAGAGUUAGGACUGCAUUUAUUUGUAUGCCUCAUGGUCGUGGUCCUUGGCCUAUGUGCUACGGUCCAUACGGGGUACGGGCCCAAUUUAUUAUCACUGCUGAUUUACUUCAUCUGUUUAAGAGUGAACUCAAUUAGUUUACAACUUUUGUGAUACAAAAUUGAAGUUAUUAUAUUUGUAUUCAAAAGUACUUUAAUGUUCAUAUCAGAAAAUGAUAUAUUAAUAGAGUAAUGGUUGGUUAAAGUCAUGUCCUAACUAAACAAAAUAUGUGUUAGACAGGGAGAAGCAAAUAGUCCUACCCCAUCCACAAAGUUGGAGAGAUUAACAUUGCAUGUCUAUGCUGCCUACAGAACCCUUCAAACAAGGUUUGGGUACAAAAGUCUCGCCAAAAAGAAAGGUAGCCUACAGAAUUAUCGGCAGCUGUAAGUUAAAAAAUGGGCGACUACUGUCUACCUAAUACUAACUGAAAGGCUGGAAUUCCAUCGAUGCUAUUUUACUUCUCUUGAUACACUCAUUUCUGGGGCUAUCUACUCACCCUUGAUUUGUUCCCUUCAACCAUACUUUUGUGCUCCUAGGUCCUUGCUCUUUAUAGCUACUAGGUUCUACAAAAAAAAGUGGGCGCUGGGUAGACAUUUCAUGCUCAUCCAUGUGUUGCAAUUUGCAAUGUUUUUUUUUUGAGACAGCAAUUUGCAAUGUUAUGUAGUGGCACUCGUAGGAGAUAUGAAAAAGAACUUUUGAGCAUAUUAUAUGAUCUUUCAAGAAACUUUUGUCAUCCUUCGCUAUCUCGUAUUGAAUUCUAUCGACCAGCAUUUUUUAGAGGAUAUUGAGUUUGAGGACCAGAAACGCUUCCUUGCAGGUGAACCCGGUCGCUUGGCCAUUUUACAUGGGUGGGGCGCUGGGCUGGCCGGCUGGGCUCUGGUGGUAGCUGAGAUUAAAUAGCAUCAAGCAGGUACACCAGGACACUGCAACUUUGUUUGCAUAUUCAGAGGGAUUAUUUGUCUGGCAACUGCAUUCAAGUCUUGAUGUAGUACAAAAUUCUAAUUCUUUUUUUUUGCCUUUGAUUGAGAGAGGUUAUUAAUUCGAUAGCUGCAUUCAACUCUUGCUGUGCAAUGUUCUUAUUUUUUGUAUCUUUGAAUUUGUAGCUUUAGCUCCAAAACUUUAUCUCCAGAGUUUCCUGGAGGCAUAUCAAAUAAUUAAUGAUGCUGUCUGGAGGGUCAAAUUUGGUUCUAAUUAUUACUAUUAUUAUCCCUUAGGAUUAGUACUGGCCGUACAUUCUGAACUAACGAAGGUGCACUGGUACAUCACGUGGGCGGUGGUACUAAUAGACCGGCAGUACUGCACUACUACUGGCAGAUGGUCCAAGUCCAUACCUGCUCAGUCAGCCUCACCAACCGGAUUGCCUGUUUCGAUCACGUGCACCGCGUGUUAGAAUGUCCCCCUUACAAAUACCUCUUGUAAUUAACAAAAAGAACUGCACCUGUUCAGAUGCCCUUCAAAUCGCUUCAAAUUCAACACCAUUUCGGUGUUUCCAGAUCAUCCAACAGCACAGGAAUAUGAAGACUUGAGUAGUGGAUCUCCGGUAUCGUUGGUGGACGAACGUCCACUCCAACAUGGCGAUAGAAAGCCGCACGGAAUGUUGAACAAUUACGAGUUCGAGUUGCGUAGCCUUGCGAUUUAAAAUUGAAAUUUUCUCUACUUGAUAAAUUCAAGUGAGCAUUCGUUUGGAUCCUUGGAAUUAAAUUCUAUUCUAAUAAUUAUAAUUUAGAUAUAGUUAAUUAAGCUAAUAUAGUUAUACGUGGAAUAUAUUUGUAUAUUAUUAUUGGCUAUAUGGGAGAGAUACUUAUGUACUAUACUUCUGCUAUACUUCUGCUAUAAGAAAGCGAGUCGAAGAGUGUGCUAUAGGUUGUACAUUAGAAACAUAAUAUGAGAUCUACGGAAUCAAUUUUCAUACUCCACCCCCAUAAAUAUAAGAUAAACUUGUAUAUAUAUAUAUAUAUAUUGGUAAAUUGUGAAACGUCAUAUUCCAAGACAAAUAGUCUACUCAUAGAUUCUAAUUUCUCAAAAUGAAGAGAUCCAAACAGGAGGCACUAGAGAAUUUAACUUUCUUGUUUAUCUUAAUGACGAAAUAACAUAAAUUUUCUCUACUUGAAAAAAAGAACGGAAUGGUGGUUUAUCUUAAUGGUUCUGAAUUUUCGACUACCGGAAUAAGUUAACGUUUAUGAACUUUAUUAGAUUGCCAGUCAAAUAAAUUUCUGAGGUGGAAUAUAUGUAGCAAUUAAAGAAAGGAGAGAACGAAAAAUAAGAAAAUGGUAUGGCGUGCUCGAAACCGGGUUCGAAGAACAAGCGAGUUGCGCGUUGGGAGAAUCUAUCGUUUCUUCCCAACGCAUUUUCCUCGAUCUCCCGACUGCUGUGCCCGCCUCCGCCCUGGCGCAGGUGGCGCUCCAAGAGCCGGCGGCCCUCCAGACGUCGUUGCUGCCCGAGGUUUGCCCAACCCGGAAGGGCCCAGCGGCGGCGUGGUCAUCCCCUCCAGUCCGUCGAUACCGGCAGACCCUACCUGCGGCAGCGGCGGACAAAUCCACGAGUGGCGGCGCCUGGAGGCUGAACUAGCUGCGCGCGCUGUGCCGGACUGCCUGUGCGGUCGGCGCUGGCGGCUUGGGGUGCUGCAGUGCUGCUGCCUGAUAGCGUGCGUCCUAGCGGUGCGGCCUUGCGGCGCCGCGUCGGAGCGGGAGUGCGGCACGCCGGUGUGUCGCCGUGCGCAGGCGGAUUCCCGCCGCACACGCACUUAGAAGCAGCCAAGCAGGUCAGUCCUUGAUUGUUGAUUCAAUAUUCAGCAACGAACUCUACCAGUGGGACAUCAGCAGCGAGCCGAUUCAGCAAUCAGUUUCUUCCCUUUUCGUCUCCCCUCUACCGUAGUCAAAUAAUUGGAUUUCAUCCCCUUCCUAGUGUUCAAGUAAAUAAACGGAAUGAAGUAGAGUUAGCGAGUUAAUAGAAACAAUUAGUGCUACUGAUAACUGAUCUAAGGUUCCUCCUCUUCUUAGCUAGACAGGUAAUUUGCGAUCGCUGAUCCUUGUACAUGCAUGUUCGUAACUAUUUUUUCCCCUCUGCCAUAGACACUUAGCACUGGAGAAGGUUAUGUCUAAGAUAUUUAUUCUCUUCUCUCUCCUGUAGACACAACCCAUGGACACUUAGCAUUGAACCUUAUGACGCAGAAUAGUAGUAGUUUAGUUAUCAAGAUGAAUGCAUUAAUACUUAAUUGGUCCUUGUACAUGUAACCUGCCACUCAACUUCACUAGAUAGCGGAUGCCAUGCCAAGCUUUAUAUAUUGAUAUUCAAGUGAUUGAAUUUAGCCUUCUUGUUUAUGUGGCUGUUCAUAAUUUGGUUGCAUUGGUUAUUUGUAAAUUUAUUGUCGUAUAGUUUGAUUAUGUAUAUUUAUCUGCAGGACUUAAACAAUUGAAUAAAACAAGCCAUGCUCAAAAGCAUACAACACUGUUAUGAUCUCGGGCCAACAUAUCAACUUCUUCCUCCCCAAUUUGCUCCACGAAGGCUCUAGACACAUUUAUUUUUACCUAGGAGCAACAUGUACUGCUCCUCAACAGUUUUAUUAUUUUGGUUAGCUCUACCAUGAUCCCAUCCAGCAAGACCCUUACCCUUCUAAUAGCAACAUUCUCAUGUUGUCAAGUUGCCACAGCGUAAUCCAAUAGCUCAACAAGAAACAGAUAGAAGACCCCAACCGAUGCAGAACCAUAAUGAUGCAAAAUUUUAUUGUGUACUGUCCAUGCUCGCUAAAAUACAAGUCUUAUUAGAUCACAUUUCUCAUCAGACACAUUCUGUAACAACAAUAAUAGCCAGUCUGGACUAGAAUAAUAGCCAUAGGUCACCUCUUGCUCUUUUUUUAUAUAUAACUCUUGCUCGUAUCCUUUGUCUCCUCUCUGAUACCAUUGCAAUUCCAGGGUAGAAGGAGGAGGCACCUGCACAAUGACGAGGCAACAAGGGAUACCAGGAAGGGCAACCGGGCAACCUCUUGGGCCCUAGCAGUUUAUCAAUGGUAUUUGGAUAUUAGAGUAGGAAAGAAGUGGCAUUGGAGCAGUCUUCGAGGGCACAUCACCCGUUCUUGAGCAGGGUCUCGAGCGCCCCAGAGUCCAGAACCUUCUAGAAGCAUCAGGAUAGCUAGAGCAUCGCUCCAACCCUGGUGUCAACCAUGUCGGAGAAGCUGGCCCCCGAGAAGCGCCACGCCUUCCUGCACAGUGGUGAGCUGCCUCCCCCCCAUCUCACCUUCCAUGGUCUGCCUCCUCCAGGGCUGCCCCCACCCUUCUGACCUAGGAUUCGAUCCCCACCCCCCUUCCAUGAGCAGGGCAGAAGGUGUUCGAGUGGGACCAGACACUGGAGGAGGUGAACAUGUACAUUGAGCUCCCCAAGGGUGUGCCCACCAAGCUCUUCCGCUGCACCAUCCAGGCGGGCCAUGUGGAGGUUGGCAUCCGUGGCAACCCACCAUACCUCAACGUCAGUGCUUCUCCUCAAUCUCCCUUUGAGAUUUGGUUCCACUCAAUUACCUGCUGAUAUAUGUUUUUCCUUUUCCUCCUUGGACUCUGUGGCGUGUGGUUGGGGAUUGAUGCCCCUUUUUGGUGAUUUUGCAGCACGAUGUGGCGCACCCCGUGAAGACAGACUCCUCGUUCUGGACAAUAGGUGAGUCCCAAUUCCAUCACCUCUGCAAUUCUUGCUCUUCAAAAUUUAUCGUUUUCACUGAGUGUGGAUGUGUGAAAUGUUGUGGCCUCUGGAUCUAGACAUUGAUUUGUGUAUCAUUUCUGACAUCAUUUGAGGACAGUUAUUAAAACUUUUGUUCUGUUUAAUUCAUCUGCAAUGCAAGCUAAUUGCAUUUGGGGAUGACCUUUUGCUACAUUUAGCAAUCAAGAUGUUUCUGUGCUGUGGUGAAUUUUAGAACACCCAGUCGCUUGUGACUUGUUAGUGAUAGUAAUAUAGCAUGAGAUUGUUUUUUAUAUCGAUGCCGUAAGGAUAUUGUAACAAGAACCUGCAGCCACUCACAAAUAGUACUAUGGAGAUGUUUGUAUUGGCAUUUAAGUCAGCAGCACCUUUUCCCACUCAAAUAGUUAUUAACACGGAGGAUGGUGAUAACAAUACAGAGGAUGGUGAGAUGCAUAUCACACUGCAAAAAAGAGAGAAGGGGAAGACAUGGUCAUCUCCAAUACAAGGGCAAGGUCUCUUGGAUCCAUAUGCUGCAGAUCAAGAGCAAAAACGGCUUAUGCUGCAAAGGUUUCAAGAAGAGGUACACCCAACUUUUUGUACUAGCUGUGUUGAUGUGCAUCCCUUUUUUCAUAUAUUUGGUCAUGCUUUGCUGUUGGAUCCUAUUAUUUUCAGUUAAUUUAAGUGUUUUUAACUCACAUAUGAUCACCUGACUACUGACAUAUGAUCUGACAGCUUGAUGGGAUAGACAAAUAGUCGGAACAUAUUUUGUCUUUAGUAGUGUGCCCGUGGAAAGUUGAUACUUCAUCCCUUUCCCUAGACAAUGUACUUGUCAAAAUUACCCUGAAUGAACCAUUUUUAGGAUAAUAUGUCCAGGCUGUUGGCAGUUAUUAGCAUUUAGCAGUUUUGUGACUCUGAUUUUGUCAAACAUUGGAUAAAUGAGGCUUUUUGCAAGAUCCUUUUGAGAACUGAAACAAUGUGUAUUUCAAAAGAAAUUGGUUGAUGUGAUAAUCCAACAUGACGUGUUCUAGCCUUAUCAUAUGCGUUUUCAGCUUGAAUGUGCAUUUACAUUUUCUAAUUCCAUUAUUUACCCAUAUGUAGAACCCAGGGCUCUGACUGAAACGCCCAGCCUGAACGGCAUAAUUCUUGCUAUGUUCCUGCUGCUAUCCUCAGCAUCUUGUUAGAUGCAGCAGCAACUGGUUGGUGUUUACCCUUGAAAUAAUGAAUUAGUGAUGAUGUGUGACCCACCAUUCCAUGACUCUGUUUGUGACUUCAGUUGAUUGUAAAUAUCCCUGAACCGGGCAACCUGUGCUUGUUUACCCCCGAGCUGAUUAUAGCUAUAGGGUCAUCAUUCGGUGCCCGACUGCUCGUUGAUGAAUCAGUAUUUGGGAGAAUUGAUGACGUGGCAGUCUAAAUUGGCUUCCGGGAUGCUCUAGUGUCUUAAAUUUUUAAUUGCCAGCCGUUUGAUACACUCAUUCAUUCUUGCUUCUCUUGAUACACUCAAUUUCUGGGGUUACUCACUCCAGCUCUGUUCCCUUCUACCUUAUUUUUGUGCUCCUAGGUCCUUGCUCUUUAUAGCUCGCUGGCCCCGGCCAUAGGGUUUACAGCUCAUUAUUUUUUGAAUAAAACUACGACAACCCUGAGGUUGCCUGAACUUCAUUGCUUUUGGAGACAAAUAAUUACAAAGAUGACAAGGAACUUUCUUUUUUUGAACAAGACAAGGAACUUUAGAAGUAGCCAGAAGGACAGCGGGAAGAUGUGCAAAGGAAGCUAGAGAAAAACAGCUAGUCCUAUAUUACAUCGGGAAGAAAUUACUCCACUCUACUAAUUUUGCAUUAUCAGAAGGAGAAGAACAUCUGUUAGACCACAACGUUAGGUCGUCCCUACGUCUCCGAGAGAUCACCAAGUUUGUUUCAUCCUCAUGUCUAAAAACUUUUGCAUUCCCGCAUUUCCAAAUCUUCCAGAGUAUGCAUUUCCAAAUGUUUAAAGCUCAUUACCAUUCCCAUGCUGACAGUUAUGAACAUCGCUUUGUCCACGACUGGUCAUUCAGCCCCCGUGAGAUUCUGAGCUGGCCACUCUUACCUGUGUUUCCUGCCAGCCCUCCUUGUGGAGCAUGAACUCAUCAUCAUCCCUUCUCCCGGCUGGAUUGAAGCAAAUGAGCAGAACAUAUCUGCAGGAUGCAAUAGCCACAGUACAGCGCCCCAAUUCCGCGCUUGGAUUGUAGCAGCCACAGAAAGAUUUUACCAAGAAGAGCCGGCGGCUUGGCGACGACGAUGACCAACACUGCGGCGAACAUCAGUUUCUGCAACAGAUGGAGCCGACAGCUUCCGUUCCUGUCCCCCGCAGCAUCAGCCGCCAGCGAGCCCAGCCCCUCUCGCUCGCUUAUGCAACAGAUGGUAUGCAGCAACGAGAGAUGCUCGCCGCAGAUCCGGCCGGCCACCUGCAGCGACAUCGACGACUAGCGCGCUGCGAGGUCGGCUCGGCUGGGCGUGGCGCGUGGCGGCGGCGGAGGAGCGGGCCAAGGAGAAACGGACGCGGCAGGGAGAUACGACGGGCGUUGGGGACGAGCGGAGGUCCGGGGGAGGAGCGCAAGCCCGUUACCGACGUCCAGGCGAGGCCGCCGUCGCCGGAGCCGGGCGGGAAAGGCAGCUACUGGGAGGCAGGACUGCAGGAGGGGCUAUUUUGCAAAUAAGUUGGAUCGUGUUUGCACAUAACCCCUCAGGGGGGUAAAUGAAACUUAAUAAGGGGUUUUAUGUAAUUAAUUGGAUCGGGAUCAAUAAUCGCGAUCCGGUUUAGGGUGUUUUAUGCAAAGUAUCACGUCCCCGUCCCUAUCGACAUGGCCGGCUCCGAGCUCCCCGAACCCGCCGCCUCUGCUUCUCUCCCCGCUGGCAGGAGCAUCGUUUCCCCGUCCCCAAGCUACCCGUUCGCACUCUGAUGAGGAGAAGCAAUGAGACGAGACCGUCGACUUGUCUCGAUCCACCGCCCCGGCCAUGGAAUGGAGACCGUCGUCUUCGUCGACGGAUCGGACUCCCGCUAAGCCGCUCGCCGACCCUGCGGGAUUGCCGCUCCGGCUCCGGCCGAGCGGUUCCUGGUCGUCGCUUCUUCCAAUGUAUCAGUGACACCAUUCUGAAUUUCUGAAUUCUGAUUGAACUCGUCCCGUCCAUGCAUGUCUCCAUCAUCGGCCAUCGCUCAGCUUGUCUCCCGCCGCCUGAACCGCACCACGCCACCACGAGCGCACGCAGUCCACUGCUCUAUAUAUUCGCGCGAUCGCCGCCACGUACUCGCUCGUUCGCCCGCUCGCUCACUGCGCCGCCCGUCCACCCGCCCCUCCUUCGCCCUCUCGAUCGUCGUAGCGCGAUCCAUCGAGCUCAUCGCCGGCCAGCUCCAUUGCCCGCGCCAUGGCGGCCGCAGCUGCGCGUUCCACUCCGCCGCGGCGUGUCCCGGCGCCGCAGGUGGCCCUCGUCAUCCUCCUCCUCUUCGUCGUGCUCGUGUGCGCGCCGUGCGGCGCCGGCGCCAGGCCAGUGCGCGAGGGGGUGCGUAGCCAUACAGAUAAUGCGCGGGCGCGGACGUCGCCGGCGCUCGACGUCGGUCGCUGGGCGAGCGGGAGCGUGGCUACGGGGGCGGGGGCGCACCGGGUGGCCACGGUCGGCGGCGGCGCUCCCACGCCGCCCUCCGGCCCGUCGCAGAACCACAAUUGACCGGUGGUGCUCACCGAGCUCGCCGCCGCCCUGGAGAUCAAGAUUUCCGGCUGUCCGCUCCAGAGCAUCAUCAACAGAUACCUGGUUUAUCCUUCCUUGAAAAUGCCGGUGUUUAACUAGUUUCAACGUGUAAAUCAGCUGCCUUUGUCCACGUCAUUAGACAGUAGAUGCGUGCUAUUUAUUACUCAGUCUGCAGUUAUAUAUAGGCCAGUGGCCAGAGCAGGAUUUGAUUCGACUAAGUUUUGUUCAACCUAUCGUGCCAGUGUUUCUUUCAUUCCUCUUUGCAGUUUAAGCAAAAAAAAACUCAGUUUUUCGUCAUAUUUUGGUAGUUGUUCUUGAUGGAGUAUAGUUGUUCAGUUAAGAACUUAAGAUGUGGCGUGCUACUAUAGACAGCAGCUGACUGCGUCUCAGCUCAGCUCAGUCUCUCUCUCAUGCAUCGUUCAUGCAGUCAGCCGGUCAUGGACUGUGCUAUGGAGAUCAACCCUACGCCAGCAAACCAUGUUGCCGUGUUGGUGCUACGGCCCCAAUGGCCAGGCAGUGUCCGUGACGGAUCUCACCUGCUCCCACUCACCAACACCGUGCAUGCAUUUGCAGUGGAUGCGUCAUCUGAGACCAAUUCCCAAACUGAAAACUUCAGCUGCCGUGGAAUUUCAAAGGCCGAUCAUCCUCAGUACAGAAUCCACUACGGCUACGGUGCGUACAAGUCCUAUACAAGCCGUAGCUUCUUUGUGCAGCAGAGGAUCAUACCCUGGCGGAUGGAUUCGCUUGAAAAAUGACCUGUACAACAGCAGCUCCAAGCUUGAUAUCCAUCUGAAGGGUAGACUUGCAAAUUGAACUUUGCAUUUGCCUCCAGUUUGCAUCAGUUCCUGGGUGCGGUGCGGCGCAUGAUGCAGCAUGCUAAAAUUGGAAACCGCGGUGUCCAAGAUUAGAAGCUUCAAAGCCGUGGUUGACCUUGAAACCAUGGCGACGGGCGUUCCUGGGGGGACACGGACUCGCGCCCGGGAGAGGACACGACGACCGGCACGCGUCCUACGAUUUAGGACGGGACCGCCGCACCACUCGCCGGGCCCUUCACCGGUUUAAGUGCUCGCCGCUCCCGCCCUGACGCAUUCUUCCCCCCGCCACGCAAGGACGAACAGGAGGGGCCCACACCUCCUGACGCCCCCUUCCCGCCGAGAGAGUCGUCGAUCGAUCGACCGGCGGACCGGUUUGGUUCCGCCGCCGCCGGGGCCGGGCACAAUGGCGGGAGCCGUGAUCGUGCACCACACCACGAGGUACAAGACGUACCCCGGCGAGAUCACCGGCAUCGUCGUCUUCGCCUGCCUCAUCGCCUCCGUCGCCGGCUGCAUCUUCGGCUAUGACAUCGGCCUCACCUGUGAGUGAGCACCAUGGCAUAGAUAGGCUAGAAUGCCAAAUCAGGGGAUUGCUCUGCUCUGACGGGGGGUUUCUUUGCUUUCUGCUGUUGUUGUCGCCGCCGCCAUGGUGAUCGUGCAGCCGGGUUGACGUCGACGGAGCCAUUCUUGGUCAAGUUCUUCCCGUCCAUCUACGAGGAGACGAAGAAGCAGGUGGUCGUGAACCAGUACUGCAAGUUCGACAGCCAGCUCCUCACGCUGUUCUGCUCCUCCCUCUUCCUCUCCGCGAUGACCGCUGCCUUCUUCGCCGGCCCCUUGACCCGGGCCUUCGGCCGGAAGUGGACCCUGUUCACCGCCGGGUCCGCGUACGUGUGCGGCGCGGUCCUCGGCGGCGUGUCCGUCAACUUCCCGAUGCUGCUCACCGGCCGGAUCCUCGUCGGCGCUGGCGUCGGGCUCUCCAUCCAAGCGUCCCCCCUCUACAUCUCGGAGAUGGCGCCCGCGCAGCAGCGCGGGAUGCUCAACAUCAUGUUCCAGCUGAUGAUCACGGUGGGGAUCCUGACGGCGAACAUGACCAACUACUUCGCGUCCAAGAUCCCCGGCGGGUGGGGGUGGCGCAUCGCCGUGGCGUUCGGCGCCGUCCCCGCCGGCGUCAUCGCGCUGGGCUCGCUGGCCAUCCCGGACACCCCGACGUCGCUCAUCCAGCGCGGCGACACCGCGACGGCGCGCAAGACGCUGGCCCAGAUCCGGGGCGUGGGCGACGUCCGCGAGGAGUUCGACGACCUGUCGACGGCGAGCGAGGAGGCCAAGGCCGUGGAGAACCCGUGGCGGGAGCUCUUCUUCGGCGGCAAGUACAAGCCCCAGCUGACGUUCUCGCUGCUCAUCCCCUUCUUCCAGCAGCUCACCGGCAUCAACGUCAUCAUGUUCUACGCGCCCGUGCUGUUCAAGACCGUCGGGUUCAAGCAGAACGCCUCCCUCGUGUCCUCCAUCAUCACCGGCCUCGUCAACGUCUUCUCCACCUUCGUCGCCGUCUUGACCGCUGACAAGGUCGGCCGCCGCGCCCUCUUCCUCCAGGGCGGCACGCAGAUGAUCAUCUCCCAGGUCGGCCGGCCGCUGCUCAUCUUCUUCUUCUUCCCUCCCGAGCUUGCCCAUGAAUGUGUCUGAAUGCGUUAUUCUGUAUCUGAUGCCGUCGCCAUGAUCCAAAUUCUUGCACGCAGAUCCUGGUGGGCACCUUCAUCGGGCUGCAGUUCGGCAUGAGCGGGACGGGCGCCAUCUCGGAGCAGUAUGCCAUGUGCAUCGUGCUGUUCGUGUGCGUGUACGUGGCCGGGUUCGCCUGGUCGUGGGGCCCCAUGGGGUGGCUGAUCCCCAGCGAGAUCUACCCGCUGGCGGUGCGGUCAGCGGCGAUGAGCGUCACGGUGGCCGUCAACAUGUUCUUCACGGCCUUCAUCGGGCAGAUCUUCCUGACGCUGCUCUGCCACCUCCGGUUCGGGCUCUUCUACUUCUUCGGCGGCUGGGUGCUGCUCAUGACGCUCUUCAUCGCCAUGCUGCUGCCGGAGACCAAGAACGUGCCCGUCGAGGAGAUGGCGCACAUCUGGAAGAAGCACUGGUUCUGGAGGAAGUUCGUCGUCGACACCUCCCCCGACGCGCGCAGCGCCGAGAUGAGGAAGAGGAUAGCGCUAGAGAUGAGCUAGCUGAUGAUGAGGCCGAGCAAAGCCUCGUCAUCAGCCAAGUACAUUUGAUGGAUCGAUAGAUAGAGUGCAGAACACACAUGAAUGUUGUUGUAGAUUUGAUCAUACAUACUCCUAGCACAUCUUGUACUAACUAAACUGUUUUACCUUCUCUCUUUUUUUCUUCGGUUUCAUGUGCCGAGUUGUCAGCAGCAUUUUUUUUCUUUUUAAUUGAAGAAGAAUACAGAACGAUUUAUCAUCCAGUAAUCUCACGUGGAGUGUGCUACUGUGAUCACAAUGAUCGUUCUUCUUUAAGCAUCACUUUUAGUAGUUCCCACUUAUCAUCCAGUACAAUUGAAGUCCUUUUCUGUUCACUUUCCCUUUUCUCUACCUUUUUCUAAGUAUUUAAAUUCCUUUCUUUUUCUGUUCACUUUCCCUUUUCAAGAUUCUUUUAGGCAAAACUAGCUAAGCCAGCCUACAAGGAAUUAGGUGGAUCCAAGAUCCAUGCUACGAAGAAGCAAAGCACCCAAACUCUCUUGUCAGUUUCAAGAUCUUGACUUUCAACCAGCAAUCCGCAUACAAAACGCACAAAGGGAAAUGAGUACAAAUGAGGUCGUAGCAUCAGGUUUCGGCAAAAUUUGUAGCAGAAGCGCUAACCUUGCCGAUCCUGACUUUCAACUAGCAAUUGACUUUCAAGAUCCUGACUUUCAACUAGCAAUUCACGAACAAAACCCGAAGGGGAAAUUAGUGAUCUGGAUGAGUACUCACAAAACGCGCAGGUAACUUAAAUUUCACACACACAAGUACGUGUUCUUAGAUUACAGGGAUACUCUGCUGCUCCAAACACCACUCUGGGACUUGCUAUUUACAGAAAGCUCUUAGCUAUGGCUUCCAGCAGCUCAGACCCAAACUGACCGACGCGACGACGACGAGCAGUCGAGCAAACAGCAGAGUGGUGCAAGACAACAGCAGCAAGCAACAACCAGUGGUGGUGGUAGUACUAUGGUACAGCACAGUACAGAUCCGGCCGCCGGAAGCACGCCGGAACGCCGCGGGAGCUCGCCGACCGAGCAGAGAGAGCGUAGCAUCACUUGGGCCCCCAGAGCAGCAGGUGCAUCACCUUGGCCGUCUUGCCGUGGUCCUCGCGCCCGCCGCGCCGCCCCGGCUGCGGCUGCUGCUGCCGCCCCGCCGCCACGCCGGCGUCGCGCGCCGUCAGCGCGCGCCGGAGGGCCGCGAGCUCCGGCCACCUGCUCUCCCGGCCGCCGCCGCCGCUCAUGGCUCCUGCCGCAGCUGCUGCGCCACCGUAGCACCUCUCGGCUCUCGGCUUCUGCUACAAACAAAUCAUGCCGUUAGCAGCUAACUCUACUCACCAGCACCCACCAGGCCGGCCACUUAUAUAUAGCGGCGAGGAGCCGGCGGCGAGCCUGCCAGCGAAGACGUGACGUGUCCAGACUCCAGCGGAGGGCCCGGCGCGGCAGCUGGGGAUAAGCGGUAACAAAUAUCGCGCCGCGUUCUUAUCAAAAGAAAAAAAAUAUCGCG